rnacentral:lncRNA from 1 species
GGAUGAUGAGUAGUCAGCUUGUGCUUGGAUGGCAGGAGAAACCAAUGCAGGACCCUGACUUGGAUUGGCUGAACCCAAAAAAAAAAAAAAUUUAAUUAAUUAAAAAUAAUAAUAAUACACAUAUAUACAUACAUAUUUUCAUGAUUUCUAAAGUUCAAACUUCUCUUUUCCGUUCUUGGAAUUUGUUAAUAACUAAAGCAUCACUUAUAAACUGUUCUGUAAGGAAGACCUAGAAUAUUUGCACUCAAACAGUAGAUGGAAAGUACUUCAUCCAGGAUUUAGGAUAUGGGCUCCGAUUAAACCAAAUAUUCAAAUGGUACAUCAGAUGCUUCAGUACUUUGGACCGUCUUUCUCUAUUUAAAAAAUUAAUUCUUCAUUAACCUUAAUUAAAGUAGUCAUCUUUUUCCUCACAUAAAUCAUGAAAAUUCUGUUUAAAGUACAAGAUUUUUCCUCACUUAGUAGACAUAAUAUACAUUGACCAGCCAACAGCCCUUAGCAACUUUAACUUACAAUAUGCAGGCCACUUUGUUAUGAGCUCCAAGCUAGAUUCAUAUUCAGUUAAGAUGUGCUUCUUCAAUUAUAUGACGAAACAAGCUGUGCUCCUAGAAUUACAUGAAGAAACAAAUUAAAAUACAAUGCUUCAAUAUUUUGCCUUUAUAAGACUAAUGUCUUCACAUACUCAGGAAAAGGUACGUGACCGCAUUAAAAUUACUGAAAACAAAUUGUAGCAAAAAACAUUCAUCAUGAAAAGUUUAGGGAACUUCAACACGAGUACAAAAAUGAGAAGCCAAAAAAAAAAAAUUAAAUAAUGCUGUACCUAUGUGAGUAGGUUUUUUAAGUCUAAAGCACGUAGAAACCGUAAGUCCUAAAUAAAUUCAUUGAAAUUGAAAGGCUUACUAUUAUAUAAUUAUCAUAAAUAAAUAAGCCAGAUGGUAUUUCAGAAAAUAUACCAUUACUAGUUCAAUUGUGCACAUUUAAAAAUUGGGUCCAUAAUCACUCACAAAUAUGAGAAUUGAUGACUUUAACAAUUGACCAUCAGGGAACGUAAUCCUAUGUGCUCUCUGUAAAGUAACUAUUUAUCAAAAAUACAUUGAAAAUCCAAAUUAUUCCAGCGAUAAUUAGUAUACUUAAAAAAUGUGCAGCUAAAACCUACUAAGUCAAAAGUAAGGUAGCUCAGUAUGGGGUCAAUGUAGAGCGAAAAACAAAAUUCAUCAAAGAGUGAAUAUGGUGAUAAUAGGACACUACUUUCUUUUACUCAAGGAGUGAAGCAUACGUGAACGAUUUUAUGCAGGUGGCAUAUUUCUUUGUCUUCCAUGAAGGUUAAUUUAUAAUGCAUGUACAUACUUCAAAUAGAAGGAUAAAUUAGAAAAGAAUAAUUUCUAGAGUUGAGAUAAAGCACUUUAGAUGUAAUUGAGGGAAAGAUGAAAAAGGAAUCAUAUAUAGCACAUACGUUCUUUUAGCCUCAUGUAAGCAACUUUUGCUGCACUCAUCUCCGCUUGCUUCUUGGACUUUGCUUCUUGUCCAGAAAAAACUUGUCCUCCUACCUCAACAGUUGACACAAAAGUUGGUGCAUGAGAUUCACCAGAUUGCUUAGUAUUAUAAACUGGCAAAGCAUACGCUUCUUUCUGAGCCAAUUCUUGCAAAAGGUUCUUGUAAAGAACAGAAUCAUCCUGGAAAAAUAUGUUUAUUAACAAAAUAUGCGAAUAUGAAAGAAGAUAGAUCACUACUAAUACGAAAUUCAUAAGUUAUUCAUUAACAGUUAAUUAGAAGACUGGCCUGUUGAAAUUUAUCAAGUGACAAUGACAUUAAUGCAACUUUCGCCGCUUCAUGCUCGGCAUCUUUUAAAGUAGGAAAAAACUGAUGACUCUCAUAAGUUUGUCCAUCAAUUGUGACCUUACACUUGAAACGACUAGCAUGAGGAGGACCUUCCCUCUCACAUGAAUACAUAGGAAGAGGGAGAUUUUUCUUUUGAGUAUAGCUCUGCAGCUGGUUUUUGUAUAGGUGUUGCAUAUCUAUAAUUCAGAAAGAAAUUAUGAGUCACAUGACUUCUCAUCAUAAACAAUAGAAAUUCUUUCAUUUCCUUAUUUAUUGCCUAGAUAAAAACCAGAAGUCAAAUGUUCAGAAUGCAAGGAAAUAGGAUGUCAAUUCAAUGAAACAUCAGUAAACAUAGCAGUGAUGGCUGAAUCGCCUUGAGGAUAGAAAUACCCCGACCUUACCCUCCCCCGCUCCUUAAAAGAGUACCCUUCAUCCAUACCCCACUCUCACAUCAGGACUGCCAUCUUUAAUAGUUCUUACCACAGUAGGACUGGAACGCACACCCAUGAUCUGUGUCCCGCCAGUACAAUAUUUUAACUAAGUAGCAGCAGAACGCCAAAAAGCAUCAAUGUAAUUGAAUGGAUAAAAUAAGUACCAUCUAAGCUAAAUUCAUACCUUCAAACAAGAAACCAUCGAUGCGAUCAUCAAGCUAAAUGCCCAAGCAAUGUACUAAAGCAAUCAAAUCUAAGAAAUUGAACGUACAAAAUAAGUUCCAAUUAAGCUAAAUUCAUACCUUCAAGUCAGAUACCUCUUACUUGAAAUAAAUCAAGGUUACAGGAGAUGAGAGCACAAUCAGCUUAAUUGGUAGAGUUUAAAAAAUAUUAGGUCCUCUCUGGGGCAUACACAAUGAUGAAGAUGAAAAAGAUGAAGACUCAAAAAGUGAGAGAGAGAAAGGAGAAAGCUGAGAUUAGCUGCUUAGAGAAGGAGGCAGCAGAGAGGAAACCAAAUGGGAACAAAACCCUAACCUUGGGAAAGGAAAUAAUAUAAACAUAUACUAAGGUAUUUAUACGAGAAAAAAUACCUGGGAAAGGGCUGAAAAGAAAGAAGUUGUAUCUAUACCCCAACUGCACCCUAUUAGUUAUUUGAUUGACACAUUGCUUGACCCAAUUGGCUAGGUGUUUCCUCGUACGGGCACUGAAUAUGAAGCAGUGUGAACACUGAAAUUUCAAGUUUCCUUAUAUAUACUUUUUGAUUUCACUAUUUUACUUCUUUUCACUCACCUGAGGCUCAAUGUAAGAUCGUCAAAUAGACGGAAUACCUGAGGCUCAAUGUAAGAUCUUCAAAUAGAUGGAAUUGGAUUGAAAGAUUGAGUUCUCUCACUUGAUAUCAAAUUCAGAGUUAACUUAGAGAUCUAUUUCAUUAUAUGUUAUUAGUGCGUCUCAAAAAUGACAUGUAAUGGUCCACUCAAAUGUUUUAUUUAAAUAUCCGUCCAUAUAUUAUCCAAUAUUCCCUUUCAACAUUACCGUACCUAGCAUUAAUAAAUUUUAGGCACAUCACAGCAUAUCCAAAUUUACGUAUGUCCAGCAAUUUUCUAAUUGAAAAUGAUUUUGUACAUAAAAAUACAGAUAUGUGGACAAGAACAACAAUCAAGAUCAUCAAAUUUAGUAUGGAAGAAAAGAAUACAAAUGAAAAUAUGUGACAAUCCAACUUCAAUUGAAGUUGUUAAUUAGAACUUCACCAAGGCCAACAGAAGUAUGAGAAACAUGAAUCAUAAUUAUAAAAAAUAAUAAUAACAUAAAUCACUUAGAAGUUCUCUGAUGCGGUAAAUUGAAAUAGAGCUACAUUCAAGAAAUCAUGACUAUAGGCUUUGUCUUUAAUAGCCUCUUUAAUCCUCAAUCUUUUGACAUCACCAUAGCAGAAAAGUAAGUACACAAAAUUCAACAAUAUAUGCAUGAUCAAUCAAUAAAACCAAUAAACCAAAUAUCUAAAUCAAGAAAUUACAGAAAGGAAAAGAAAUUAUUACUAAAAUAAUUAUCUGACCUCUUGAUUUGUGAACAUCAUUGACAGUUGAGAUCGUUGCAUUGACCUGAGUAGUUCGAUCUGUUUCUCGAGCAUUUACUUGCACUGCACUUUCACUCGAAGAACCUACAAAAAUUAUUUAUAACCCAGUGUAAAGAAGAAGUAAAGUUUUCCGCACGAACAUGGUAAAGUAAAGUUUUCUGUAGGAAAAUGGUAACUUCAAAAUCCGUUUCAAACCUAUCAUACAUCCCCCACCCUCAUUUAAGACUAGUGCUUGCAAAAACUAGAAGUAAUUUAUCCAGAACAUAAAAGCAGAGAAAAUCCAGUCCAGUAUAAAUAUAAAAUUAGAUAAUACCUACCAUUUACCAUUUCAUUCAAGAACACCACACAGUUAACGAAACCAACAUAGGUAUGUUUCCAACUGUUGUACUUUCAAGUUAAUUUUGAAAGCGCGGAAGCUAAAGCCUAAACUGUUGUUUGAUAAAAGCCCAUCCACUGACUGAUACUUGGCGGGUAGCAAUUCCAUUCAAUAGCAGUCAUAGAAUAAAAGUACAAAACAAACCCCUGUUUAAAAAAUGCAAUGAAGCAGCCAUGAUUUCAAUUAUUUGCAUGUCUGGGAUUGCAGUUGAUUCCAAAUUGAGAAUAUACUUCGAGAAUAUGUUUGAUAAGCCCUUAUGUGAUGAUCGCUGGUUUAUUGAGUCUUAAAAGAACAACUCAAUCAACUAAUGUUUGAUUUGAAAAAAAAAAAUGGCAAAUCAAAAAAGUUUUGGAGUAGAUUCUCAAAAGAGUGAUUAUUUGAUAAUCCACCAUAAUCCCACAUAGUUAUCAGAAUGAAAUUAAAAUCCGAGGAAUGUUAUUUAAGGCAAACAGCACUUUUUUUAUUUUAACCAACACUUGCAAAUUGCAAUUCUUAAACUAAAAGCAUGCAAAAUAAAUGCAAAUUAAGAACGCACCUAACAGAAAAUAAUAAUAAUAAUAAUCUGAAUUGGCAAUAUUAAAAUUACCGUUAGAAGAGGAAGCGGCAGGAGUAGAGGAUGGUGGAGGAGGAGACGAGAAAUGUUGGAAAGCGAUUCUAGCGGCGUCGUUUUGGGCCUCUUUGGACGACUUGUAAAGAUCCGGAGUGGUGAAAGAUUGGUCGUUAACGGUAACGGUUGCUUGAAAGCGAGGGUUGUGGUCAAGGCCUUGUUUGGCUGUUGUGUAUACUGGCAAGUUCCACACUCUCUGGUGGCAUAGCUCCUGCAGCUUCGUUUUGUACAUCUUUUUUGCUUACAAUAUUUUCACUGAUUUUAAUUUUUUUUUUGGAAUGGGAAACUCAAGAGAAGAGAGAAAUGGAAUUUAGUUGCAAAAUUUGAAGUUUAAUUAUCAAAUAUUACGCCAAGAGAGUACGCUUCAGUUCCACGAACAGGUUCAGAAUAAAUGACGCUUGGGAAUGCUGAAAUGGAAUAAGGCCUUUUUAUAAACAAAUAAUAAUAGUAAACCGACGCCACGGUGUUUUAAAAAUAAGUUUUUUUUUUUUUAACCUUGAAAUUCCUUAUCACAGUGACGUUUUAAAAUAAUAUUUUUUUAAAAUGCAAAAAAAAAAUUUCUUUCUACCAUUUAUAAAAAAGAAAACUUAAAUAAUUUACUGUAUUAAACGUUAAAAUAAACUAAUAAAAAAUUAUCGAUAUUCUAAAAACCAAAUAAAUAAUACCUUUCCUUUAUCUUCUUCUCAAGGAAGGUGGCUAAAAACUUUCUUCUCCAAAGAGAUCUUGUUCUAUAAGGAGACAUGACAUGAAAGUUGAAGGAGAGGGUGAUCGAAGGGGGGAAUAAAAAAUCUUUUAUGGUUGGCUCGUGGACAUGGACUUCUUAUGAAAGGUGGUAACGCUGUCUCAACGUCAUAAUUAUACCGAAGCUAAGUCCAUUUCAAUCAAUAUAAAAUAUGAAUGCGGUAACGACUAACGAGAAGUUAAUAGUUUUGGAUCAAACGAAUAUACAACGUCGUUCGUGUGUUUAUCAAAUAAGAAUUCAAUUUAAACAAUGUAAAUGUGUUAACAAGAAAUUGAGAGUUAUUGAUAAGACGAGCAUAAAAUUAAAACGUCAUUCAUAUGUUCAUCAAACAAGAGUCCAUUUAUGUAUAUGUAUUAACAAGGAGUAGGGAGUUUUAGGUAAGACAAGCAUGUUGAGUUGUAAUCGGAAUAGACAGAAAUCAGAAUAGGAAAUGGAGAUCAGAAUAAAUUAUUUAUUUGAACUGUAGGAAUCGAAAUCGGAAUGAAUUGAAUUGUCAUAAAUGUGUUUACUUUGUCUUGGAAUCGGAAUCGAAAUGAAUUAAAUUAUAACAAAUUAUUAAAAAGUACUUAAUAAAUUAUUGUUAUAAUUAUUAUUUUAUAUUUUAAUUAUAGUGAUUAUUUAUUCAAAAAUUAUUAUUAUUAAUUAUUGUCAAUAAUAUAUUGAUAUAUUAAUUAAUUAUAAUUAUUAUUAUAAAUAUAUUAAUUACUAAUAUUAAUAUAUUUAUCUGCUGUACCGUACAUCCNNNNNNNNNNNNNNNNNNNNNNNNNNNNNNNNNNNNNNNNNNNNNNNNNNNNNNNNNNNNNNNNNNNNNNNNNNNNNNNNNNNNNNNNNNNNNNNNNNNNNNNNNNNNNNNNNNNNNNNNNNNNNNNNNNNNNNNNNNNNNNNNNNNNNNNNNNNNNNNNNNNNNNNNNNNNNNNNNNNNNNNNNNNNNNNNNNNNNNNNNNNNNNNNNNNNNNNNNNNNNNNNNNNNNNNNNNNNNNNNNNNNCAUCUGCUGUACGGCCAAGGCGGAUGUACGGUACAGCAGAUUUGACUUUUUAUUUUUUAUAUUUAUAUCUUUUAUUUAAAGAAGGGGCAUUUUAAGAAAUUUUGAAUGUCAACGGAAGCAAAAGAACUCUAGGUAAUGGGAGAUUGAUUCUCACCUCUCCCAAGGAAUCAAUCUCUCAUUCCUCAUUCUCAAAUAGUGGUGGGUUCCAUGAUUUCAAUUCUGAUUCUUACUCCAUUUUUUGGAAGUAAAUGCCGUUAAUCAUUUUGAUUCUCCAAUUUGGAAAAUAAAUGUACCAUAAUAUUUAAUCAAUUAUUAUGAUUAUUGGAUUUUUCAGAUACUUUUAUCUAUUUUGGUUGGAGGGACGAAGUUCACUUUCUAUUAAAAGAAACAUUAGAGGAGCUUUCAAAGUCUAGGCUAAGGUUGUUUCCCAUGGCCUUGAAGCAAUACCCAAAAAGAGCUUUCCGGCUGGCAAAAUAGGCUUGUGUUUCUGCGUCGCAAAAUGAUGUGAAUGAGCUUUCGGAGUGUUUCCUCUGAAAUUUUAGAUGCUGCAAAAUCAACAUUGUCCCGCUCGAAGUAACCCGGACAAUUUCAUUUCCUAAUUUCUUCUUAUUUAUUAUGGCAUUGAUUUUCAUUGCAAGCUCAUUGCUCUGCUAAGAAAAAGAAUAAAUGGGGGCCAAAAAAGGAAGAAAGAAAUAGAGGCAAAGGCAACAACAUUAAUGCACAAACCAGUAAAGGUAUUCCAUCGAUUUACGGCCACUGAUAGCAAGCCGGGGCCUUUAAAAACGGAAAAUACAAGCAAAGAAAAAUAGAAGCCAAUUGCUCAAUAGUGCAUAAUAUGCAUACGGAAAAUUUUCAUCACAUCACGACCCACAGUUAUUCGAAUAGGUAAUAAGACAGGAAUUUUCUUUCUUUGUUUAAAGUGAAAAAAAAAAAAAUCAAUGGCUCAGGAAGUAUCCCUCCAAUCUCCAGAACCACUCACUUGGCACUGGCAAGCUGGGUGCGGAGUAGCUUGGCAGCAGCGACCAUGUUUGAGAGGGCUGGCUUCACCUCAGUGUACUUGCGAGUCUUAAGACCACAGUCAGGGUUAACCCACAAAAUGUUGGUUUCUAGCACAGCAAGCAUCUUGUUGAUUCUGUCAGCAAUUUCUUCAGUUGAUGGUAUUCUUGGAGAGUGGAUGUCAUACACACCAGGGCCAAUUCCAGCACCAUACUUGACUCCCUCACGGAAGACAGACAGGAGCUUCUCAUCAGAACGAGAGUUCUCAAUGGUGAUCACAUCAGCAUCCAUGUCGAUAAUUGAGUGGAUAAUGUCGUUGAAGUUGGAGUAGCACAUGUGGGUGUGGAUCUGUCAAUCAAUAUACAAUAAGAUGAGACACAACAUCAACAGCUAAAUUAGAGAGAUGAGAUUGGAGAUUGAAAGGGCAACUGACCUGGGUAGUGUCCUGGACGCCACAGUUGGUGAUUCUGAAGGAGUGGACUGCCCAGUCCAAGUAGAAAGCAUGCUCAGAUUUCCUAAGAGGCAAUCCUUCCCUCAAGGCAGCCUCAUCAAUUUGAAUAACGUUAAUGCCUGCCUUCUCAAGAUCCUCGACUUCGUCCUUGAUGGCCAAAGCAAUCUGGUAGCAGGUUUCAUGUCUGCAAAAUUGGCAGCGAUUUAUGUUAAACAAUGUUUCCAUUUCAAAAGGUUAACCAAUAGUGAACCAGUUCUCAUUUAUAUACCUGGGCUGGUCAUUUCUAACAAAGGACCAGUUGAGAAUGGUGACAGGGCCAGUAAGCAUUCCUUUCAUUGGGCGAGCUGUCAUGCUCUGAGCCAAGGAGGACCAGAAGACGGUCAUAGCCUUGGGACGGCUCACAUCACCAUAGAUGAUGGGUGGCUUCACACAGCGAGAUCCAUAGGAUUGCACCCACCCAUUGGCAGUGAAGGCGAAACCUGAUAAUUGCUCUCCAAAGUACUCAACCAUGUCGUUCCUCUACAAAAACAAAUGUCCCAAUUCAAUAUGAGAUACAGCAUACUUCGUAUGCAAUUAGAAAUGCAGAAACAAAAAUGUAUAAAAUUUUAUCUAAUUCAAAACCAGGAGACAUUGCUUUGCUUCCAUUGGGCAUUGUGAAACUCACCUCAGGCUCUCCAUGGACAAGGACAUCAAUAUCAAGCUCUUCUUGGAGUUUGACAACCUUGUUGAUUUCCUCCUUGAUGGAAGCAACAUAUUCUUCCUCAGAAAUCCUAAAAAGGACAAAUAGUCACGGCACAGUUAAUACAGUAGUCGAAGUAAUUUCACACAUGGCAUUGAAUGAAGGAAAACCUCAGAUUGACUCACUUCUUAGCCUUGUAUUCACGGCGGACUCUCCUAAGUUCAAUGGUUUGUGGGAAGGAUCCAAUUGUGGUGGUUGGGAGGAUUGGAAGAUUGAGCUUCUUCUGUUGAGCAUCCAAUCUAGCACUAACGUUUGUAGCACGUCUGUGGUCUGAUCCCUUCAAAGCAGCAGCCUAAUUUACCAAGAGGAAGGAAUCACCGUUAGCAAAAAAAGGAAACUCUAAGGGGCAGCCACAUCAUAAAAAUGGAAAACAAAUCAAUCAUGCCACUUACAGCCUUUUGAACUCUCUCAUUGGUCACUCUCGGGGAGGACUUUCUUGAAGCCUGAGCUGCAGCAUUGGCAGAGAAGAAUCCCUGGAAACAAAUGAAAAGGAGAAACAAAGUUAGUCUCAUUCAUAUCAUUUCAAAAGGAAUAUACAUAUGCAAUUAGUGGGCUGAUUGUGAGAGAAAAUGUCCACAAAACUUUAACCAAACACCAAAUGCCCAAGUUGCCAAAUGAUGUUUAAUUCGGAAAAAUAUAUUUAGAAACAUUCAAAUAAAUAAUUUCCCCUUCUAAAUUUUCAUUUUCAACAACAUAUUUUACAAGCCAAGCUCAACUUCAGGCCAAGAUUUUCUGCUCCUAUAAUUAUAUUUUACCAUAAAACUAGGUCCUUGAAAGGCUAAGAUUUUCUGACUCUUGUGACUAGUCAAAGCCUAAGAUUCUUUCAAUUCAUCCGUAGCUAACAUUUUAGACUAAAAGUAUACCUCAUCCUUUUGGCCAGCCAAAGCCUUGGCCAAUGCAUUCACUUCAACAACUUUCUGGGCAGCAAAUGCCAGCCAUGACUUGAUUUCAUCGUCGAGUUUGUUCUCAUUAACAAGAUCAACAGCAGUGUGAAGAAGUGAGCAGGAGGUGGAGACCACAAGCUUGUCUGCAAAGAAAAAUAAUAAAUUAUACAACAAAUCCCAUAAAAGAAUAAGAAAUAUUUAUCACAAAGAAAAAUGCAGGCAAAGGAUGUAUACCUUUGCCAACAACACCCUCAAGCCCCCGGAGAACACUAAGAGAAGCAGCAAGAUCAUUGGCCCAAAUGUUCCUUCCAUCAACCACUCCAGCAAAGAGGUACUUGCCAGCAGGGAAUCCACUCUUGAUCAAUUCAAGGGUCUUCGUUCCACGAACCAAAUCAAAUCCAUAAGCGGUGACACCCUUCAAAGAAGUGAGGGUCUGGAAUGCCUCAGCUGGAACAUCAGCAAAGUAGGUCUCAACAAGAACAUUCAAGCCAGACAGAGUUGACUCUAGCUCGGCAUAAGCCUCACUGAAUGCAUGCAAUUUGUGUGAGUCAAGAUCCAUAACAAGCAAUGGCUCAUCAAACUGAAUCCAGGAAGCACCAGCAGCCUUAAGCUCAGAAAUAACUUCCCUGCAGAAGUGUUAAUUGGUACAACACAGAUUAAUGAUGUCACUCGAUAUAUACACACAGAGUUAUUUAGCACAUACACAUUUAUAAAUCAGUAAUAGGUGAUAAUUUCUUACUUGUAGAUUGGAAGGAUUUUCGGAAGAAGAGAAAGAAGAGAAAAGGUCUUCGCAACACCCUUGGCAGGCUUAGACAGCAACAAGUAUGACACAGGGCCAAUAAGCACUGGGACAGUUUCAACUCCAAGCUGCAGCAUUAGACAAGUGAUCGAUAUUAGCAUCUCACAAACUUGAUCUGAUUGAUAGAAAGUUACAAGCAAGUUCAGAAUUCGUUUAAUGAAAUCUCUAUGAAAAAUCUUCAGGGUCCACAAUGUGUUGAAAGUACCCUUUUCAAGUAAUUUAUCUUAAGACUAUUUUGCAAACAGUAUUGCUUUCCUUACAGAUCAAAUAAAUCAAACAACAUAUGAACACAUUUACUGAACCAAGUCUAAGUUCAAAGCUCUAUAAAUAAAUGUCAAUGAAUCUAUAGUAAAUUCUAUUGCAUCCUAAGCUAAAGAUGAGCAUAUCAUAUAAGAAUUUCAAGGUGAACGUAACCCAAUUUCAAUAUAUUGUAGAUUCAGAUAUCAAACGAAAUAAAAUUUGUAAAUAUAGACAGAACUGAGAAUAAACACUCACCCCCUUAGCCUCCUUGUACUCAGUCACAGCCUUGUGGGAAGCGUAGGAGAACUUAACAUCGGGUCCCAAUUCAGGAACAAUGAAAUGACUGCAUCAACACGAAGCCAAACACGCGUCAGCAUUCAGUACAAAACCAUUACACCAUAAAUAACUUGAAAUGCCGCUCUUCCAAGUAGUGAAUACUUACUAGUUGGUGUCGAACCACUUGGUCAUUUCCAUAGCGGGAACAGAGGCGUUUCCUCUGGCCAUGGAGAAGUAAACAUCAAAUCCAAUCUCGCCGCCGUUCCAGUUAUACCUCGGGGGCACGGCACCGAGCAUUGCGGUGGUGUCGAGCACUUGGUCGUAGUAGGAGAAAGUGUUGCUGGGAAUGUAUUUGAUCCCGGCCUGGGACAUCUGUUUCCAGAUGGAGGAUCUGAGAUCAGCGGACACCUUUUGCAAAUCCUCAGCGCUGCUCUUGCCAUCCCAGAAGGAUUCCAACGCGAACUUGAGCUCCCUCUUGGGGCCCAUGCGUGGGUAUCCAACGAUGUGAGAUGCCAUUUUACUGUCAUAAUCACGUCAUCAAUGAAUCGAAAAUCAGUCACUUUCAUUAAAUCAAGAAAAUAUUCAUUCAAAUGGAUGGGUCAUUGCUAUUACUGCUCAAAUCAAAUGAAAUCAAGAACACUUAUCAGAGCAUAAAAUCUUAAAUUAAUUUUUUUAUAAAAAAAUAAAAAACCAGUUGAAACAAGCUGAUAAUAAUCCAAGAGUUUGAGAUGAUUUUUUUCUUUCUGUAAUCACAUGAACAAUUAUGUACUUUCAGUCAUUUUUGAAGGAUUAAAACAAAAAAUUCUACAAAUAGAUUCUGAAAAGAAGAAUCUAAAAAUAGAUUCAAAAACAGUAACACAAGUAGAGUUCAAAUUGUUUUUCGGAAAAGAUUAAUUACAGAUCUGAUUGAUUCACGUUCAGAUCUAGCAAAAUCACGGCAGCCAAACACUAGAUCUAACACUAACAGUCACUCACCAGUCCAUUAGAAAAUGAAAUCAAGUUCAAAAUUCUUUUAAAGUUAAUUCUUUUUUAGAAAAUGACCAGAUUUUAGUUGAGUAUUAGUGAGUUUUUUACAAAAUAAUUUAUUUUUGUUUUUUAGAUCCAAAAGUUCGGAAAUCAAAACCAUGUUCAAUGCUUAUUCAUGAUUAACGGCGUAAAAACGCUACUGCAGAGAAGACAUAACGAAAAUGGGAACCGUACCAAACAGAGAAAGAAGAGCAGAGAAAUUGAGAGUCGAGAGGAGAGAGAGAAGAGAGCGGCGAGUUUGGGGGAGUGCCCUCUCCGUUAUUUAUAGCCAAAAAUCAAAUCUGGUUUGGUGGUUGCCUUUGGCGUGCCAACCUGUAGAUCUGAGAUUUUUCAUCUUAAUUUCUUUCUCUUAUUUAUUUAUUUAUUUAUUAUGAUUUUCAGUGCAGUUCAUAAAAUAUAGAGCUGACGCGCGCUUUUCUGAUGUGGCGCGUGAAUUGGAAAUGCGGUAGGUCUUUGUGGGCCCCACGGCACGGUCAGGACUGAAGGAAAAAUGUGAGAAGUUAUCAUAAUUUCAACAGUGCCAUAAUUAGCAAUUACACCACCAAAUAUUUCUUGAGUUUUUUUUUUUUGAUUGCUUUAAAUGCAGAGUUGUUAUGAAUUGUGUUAAUUGUAGAGUUGUUAUGAUUAGAUUACAUUAUAAUUCGUCACAAUUAUGAUAGGUAUGUACGUAUAUAAUAAUUUAUGAGUAAUGAUAUAACCACAAACUCUUAUACAAACUUAUUUUGUACAAAUUGAUGUGGCAUGAUAAAAUUAGUUGAAUUAAAUAUUACUUGAUCCACAUGAUUUGUUAUUAUUAUUUUAUAUUUUCAUUCAACCAAUGAAUUAAUGACACGUCAGUUUGUACAAGAUAAGUUUGUACAAGAGUUUAUGGUUGUAUCAUCACUCAUAAUUUAUAUAAGAUCUCGAAUAUUUAAAAAAUUUAUAAAUCAUUAUUUUCAUGUACAUUUACCUGGUAGCAAUGACAAUAACAUAAAAUAAACUCCAAACAAGAAUGGAUUAUAUUAUUUAUGUUAUUUUAUAGCUUUUUAAUUGAUUUUUAAAAGGAUUAAUUGUUAAUCAUUACUCUCCAACCGUAAUCACCAUUAAAUAUUUAUUUAAUUUAAUAGUCGGUAGAUCAUAAAUAAGAUUAGAAUAUUUAAUGGACAAUCUAAUUGCUACUACAAUUGUUAUCAUUUUUUUAAGGUAAGGGAUUAGACAAUACUCAAAUUUAUUUUUUAACCCCUUACUCCCUAAAGAUUCGAAUUUAACUAACUAAUUAAAUAAGACUGCUUAAAAACCACUCAACCACAUCUUUUGGGGACCAAUUAAUAUCGAUGUUUAAACUGAGGUUUAUUAUUAAAUUUUUUAAGUUUCAAGUUUCAACCGCUAACAACAUUAUCAUCGAUUAAUGAUAAAUAUAAUAAUAUUUCAUCAAAAAACCAUUUAACACAUCCAUCCAUAUUAAACAUAAGUAAAAAAUUUAUCAUGCAUUUCAAAUAUAUUUUUCAUCCUAAAAGUUAUGGAGAAAAUCUUGAUAUCAAAACUUACAAUGUAAUUAUGGGAUGUAAUUUUGCAUUUGAGGUCAGCACAACUUAAAAAUUACUAUGAAUGAAAAUUUAUAAUAAGCAGACACCACAAAAAAAAAUUAUUUAUAAGUAUUACAAUCAUGCAGUUUUAUUUAAGUAUUUAACCAAGUCAUUCAAUUUCUAAUUAAGACGGUAUAAAUUAGAUUUGGGCUGCCUAAGACCAAAAGUCAAAAAAAAAAAAAGAAUAUUCCUAAUAAGCAGCCUACCGCGGUCACGCGCCUUAAGAAACGCUUGGACUUAGCACACGAUUUUAAUCCAAAAUGUAUAAAAAAGGAAAAAUUUAUGAGGUGUAUAAUUAUCUUGAGUUGUUAUAUUUUGAAGAAACAAUGAAGAAAGUUGGUGGCCGAAGUUGAUCCGGGGCGAAUGGUGGUGGGCCCACGUUGUUGCAUUAUAAUUGGAGUUAUUGUAAUUUUUCUUAUAAUUAAUAAACUCCAUUUUUCAAAGAAAAUAAAUAAAUAAAUACACUCCCGAUUACGAAAAUAUCAUUUCAUGAGUGUCAAAGUUAGAGCUGGCAAAAUUUGACACGACCCGAUUACCUGACACGAACACGACAUAAAUAAAUAAGUAUGGAUCGUCAAAUUUAACACGAUUAUUAAAUGGGUCGGGUCUGGGUCAACACAAUUUUUUUCCGUGUCGGGUUUGGGUUAAAAUUCUUGACCCAUUUACCCGAUCAAUGACCCGAUUAUAUUUUCUAUUUUAAAAUAAUUUACAUAUUCUUAUAAUUAAAACUCAAAUAUUAGAGAUAUUUUUUUUAUUCUUUAAAAUGGUGAAUAUAAACACAGUGUUUUAUUUAUAAAAUUUUACAUACAUUUAGAGCUUCAAUAGUGUAAAUGUGUAAAAAUUGAUAGACAUGUAUAUUUUAUAAUAUUGAUAUAUAAUAUUAUAUAUAUAUAUAUAUAAUUAAAACCUCAAUAGUGUACAUGUGUAAUAUAUUGGUAGAUAUGUAUAUUUUAUAAUAUCGAUAAAUUAUGUAUGUAUGUAUUUAUGUACAUACGUAUGUAUGUAUUUAUGUAUAUACGUAUGUAUGUAUUUAUGUACAUACGUAUGUAUGAUAGUGUGUAAAUAUUUUAUGUAACUUUUGUUCAAUAUAUAGAUAUUAAACGGGUUAUUGGGUAACCCGAUUGUUUUUCCGUGUCGGGUUUGGGUCUCAAUAUUUUGACACGAUUAUUAAAUGGGUCGGGUUUGGGUCGACCUAAAUUUGACACGACACGACACGAACACGACCCGAUGACCCGUUUUGCCAGCUCUAGUCAAAGUGACCGUCACCUACGCAUCGCGUUUGUUGGGCGGGGUGGGUAAGGUGGGGCGAGGAGUUUGUUUGAUCGUCUGAUUACUUUGAUUUUGAUGAAACGUAUGGACGACGGCGAUGGCUUGCCAGCAAGUGGGUUUAUCAUGAUUUUGAUUGUAUUCGGGGAGAUGCUUAUGUAUAUCCUCAAAACUUCUUGGAAAUGAAAACCGCUGGGGUGGCAAAUCUUGACCAAUAAAGUGUGCGUGAUGUUGCGUUUAUAAAUUUCAAUAAUACUAUUGGCCGAUUGAGAUUAUUUUUAAAAAGUUUAAAAAUAAUUUUUAAAGGUUAAAUGUUAAUUUUAAUAUUGAAUAAAUUUUUAAAAAUUAUUUUUGAUAAAAUCAUUUUAUCCUCCAAUAAAUUUUAAAAAAUAGCGAUACAGUAAUUUUUUAAAAUCUAAUUUUAAUAAUCAAAACUAUUUUUUUAUAUAAUUUUAUAGAUAUCCGCAUAUAUAUAUUAUAAAAAUUCGAAAUCAUUAUUAUUAAUUAGGAAAUAAAAUCAUUAACUUUUAAGAAAUUAUUAUUAUUACCAAUUAUACUGACAUAACAAAAUAAAAAAUUAAUUAAUAUUAUAAAUAUUUAUUUCAGUUAUCAACUAUUAUAUAUACACAAUAAAAAAUAUUUUAUAUACAUAUUUAUAAAUGUAUAAAUAAUUUUUAUUCAAUAUUAUAUCGAAUUAAUCAUUUACAUUCUUGCAACAAGUUAACAAUAAAAUUUACCAAACACAUACGAUUGUUUUUAAAACUCAUAUUAUUUUUUUAAAAAAAAAUUACUAAACCUUUAACUGAUUCUCUUACAACUGAUUAUUUCUACAGUACAAUUAACAACAAUUAUUUUAAAAACUAUAACAUUUUCAAACUAGCCCCAUGACAAUAUUGUUAUUGUUGUUUUUCUUACUCUUAUCAAUAAAACUACGUUGCACAUAAGUGCAUAAAAAUUCACACAAAAUAAACUAUUUAACUUUAGGGUAUUAAUUGAAAAAAAAAAUCAGAUUAAGGUGAAUAAAUAUCAGAAAAUAACAAAUAGAUAAACUCUCACACUCUUUAAAAAAAUUAAUUUUAUAAUUUUAUUUAAAACCAACAGAUAUUACCAAACUUAACGGAUCAAUGUUCCAAUGUUUUCUUUUUAAUUUCAAAACCAACAGAUAUUCUUUGUUCAUUAUAUGACCUCCAAACAAAUAAUUUCAUUAAUAAAAUAAUAAUGAAAAGUAUCGUGGUGAGUACAGAGUAAUUCGGUGGCUAAUAAAAGUCUCUAUUUUUCGUCUCUGUUUUUCAUUUUAACUCUUGGGGUUGGUGCCACUUCGGCCUUGGUCGGAGUGGUGGGCUGCUGCCCUCACAAGUAUUGUGAGGACAGUGGUUCAAGCCCCCACAAAUAUUUUUGUGGGGGCUAACGUACUUAUUUAUUUAAUAUUUCAAAAAUUUCUUCUCCCUCGUGCAAUACGAGUGGAGUAUGGACAUCCCUCCUCUAUAAGGGAUUAUUUGUCUGGGCAUGUACUUCACAGAAUUCAAUGUAAUAAUAUAAGUCUCAAUCAUAUAUUUUUGAUUGUAAAUAUCAAUAUAAUAUAUCUGCUAUAAUAGCAGUUGUAAAUAUCUGUGUAAUGCAAUAAUAUGAUAAUUAAUCAUUAUUCAAAAAAAAAACUCUUGGGGUUGGUAGGCUCGUGAAUGGUCCACGUAACCUCUGGACGUAACACUCAAACAAAGACAGCACAAGGCACAUGAAAAAUGCCUAAAAACCGUAAAACCGUGACGUGUUCAACAUAUUAAUAAAUUUAUACUGUGUUUUCUUUUUUUUUUUAAUACUGUGUUGAUAAAGCACUUACGAUGGAACGACCAAUUCUAUUACUUGCAAAACUAAUUAAUAUUUCACUCUAUCAUCUAACUAAUGGAAGGCCAUCUUAAUUGAGGUUGCAAUAGUUAGAAAGUAGCGGGAAGGGUGGCCAAUGCUCCAUAUUAAUUUGCAUCAAUCCCUUUCUGGUGAAGAAGUACGGGUGAAGUAGAGGUCAAAGUUAGAAGAUGAAGGGUGUGUUUGGGAAUUGAGAGUGAGGUGCUGUAGUUUUUUAGCUGCAGUUGCUGUGAAAUAAAAGUUAUAACUGUGGAAUAGAAGUUGAGAAAAAAAAUUUGUUAAGCUGCCAAAGCCCAGUUACAAAUGUUACCAAACACCUUAGUAGCUAGGCUUUGGCAGCCCAUCUACCCCAUCACACUCCCAAACGGAUUAGAAGGGGACCGGGAUUGCUUUGUCAUAUUUGAAAAUGAUUUUGAAAAAAUAAAAAUUAAGUUCAGAAUUUGGUAAAUUCCUUUAAAAUUUCUUUUAGCAAAAUCACUCUCUCCUUUAGAUUUUGAAAAGUAUGGAAUGAGUAGUUUUUUAAAAUUUAAUUUUGAAAUUCGGAUUCAUAUUUAAUAUAAUACCAUAUAUCAUAACAUGUAUUAUAAAAAUCUAAAAUUAUCCUUAUUCAAUCAAUUAAGAAGUAAAAUCUUACAUUUAAAGAUAUUAUCAUUAUCAAUUAUAUUUAGAUAAUAAAAAAUACAAUUAAUAAAAUAAAAAUAUUUAUUUUAGUUAUCAAUUAUUAUAUAUAUACAUAAAAUGUAAUUAUAUAAACAUAUUUAUAAAUGUAUGUGUAAAUUAAAUUUGUAGAUUUAUGUUUAUAUAGAUCAUUUGCAUUCUUAUCACAUUUUAAAAGUGAGAUUUAUUAAAUAUAUAUAUGAUUAUUUUUAAAAUUUACAGCACUUUUUAAAACAAAAGUAUCAAAAGUUUAAUUGAUUCCUUAUUUUUACUGUACAACUAACAGUAAGAUGUGUUUGGUUCAAGUAUAAAAUGAUGGGAUUGGACAAUUUUAAGAUUAAAUAAUCCUAAUGCAAUGUUUGGUACCAAAAAUAAUUGUGGGAUAAAAAUAGUGGACCCCACCAUUUAAUCCAACACAAUGUCAAAAUUUUAUCACAAAGGGGGGUGUGGGAUAAGCUAAAACUUAAACGUAGGAUAACAAAAAAAAAGCCCAAAAUUUUAUACAACACAGUGAUUUUUUUUUUUUUUUGAGUAUGUCAUCAUCCAAUGAUAGUAUAUAUGCCAGAACACUCUUUUGACGUUAAUGAUAUGUAAUAUUUUCAUAUAUACAGCUAGUGACAUUGUUAUGUAAUUUCUUUUUCAUUUAUAGAUUUAUAUUAUUAUUAUAUUUGUUGAUGAUAUUCUUGUUAUGUUUAUAAUUAUAUUAUUUAGUAAUUUAUAAGUUUAAAAACUAUAACAUGUUAAAUAUAAGAAAAACUUUAAGCGAAGAUUUUGUAUUUUUUAACAAAUUUACCAAUAAUUUUUUAUUUAAGUUAGAUUAUAUUCCAUGUCAUUUUAAAAUAAAUCUAAGAUAAUUUUGAUAAAUUAAUAAAUAAGACAUAUUAUUAGUUACUAACCAAUUUCAUGGCAUACCAAACAUGAGAUAUGAUUAUUUACAGUCUAAUCCAACAUUGCACCAAACGUAAUAGAGUAUUAUAUAUAAUCCAAUGUUAUCAAAUCCAAUCAUAUCUUAUCCAAUCCGAUCCGAUCCAGUCUAAUCCAAUUUGACAUACCAAACAAGCCCUAAUUAUGUUAAAAACUACAUCAUUACCAAACUGACCCUUAAUACAAUCUCAUACAUACAUACAUAUAUAUAUAUAUAUUAAAAAUUAAAAAUUAUCUUUAUUUAGUUAGGAAAUAAAACCAUUAUAUUUAAAUAGAUUAAUAUUAUUACUAAUUAUAUUCAGAUAACAAAAUUAAUAAAAUAAAAAUAUUUGUUUGAUUUAUCAAUUAUUAUACACACAUAUUUAUAAAUGCAUGCGUAAAUAAAAUUUUAUAGAUUUAGGCCAAGGCGGAUGUACGGUACAGCAGUAUCUUUAUUUAGUUAGGAAAUAAAACCAUUAUAUUUAAAUAGAUUAAUAUUAUUACUAAUUAUAUUCAGAUAACAAAAUUAAUAAAAUAAAAAUAUUUGUUUGAUUUAUCAAUUAUUAUACACACAUAUUUAUAAAUGCAUGCGUAAAUAAAAUUUUAUAGAUUUAUGUCUAUUUAAAUCAUUUGCAUUCUUAUAACAUUUUAAAAAAAGAAAAGAAAAGUGAUUUACCAAAUACAUGUAAUUGUUCUUCAAACUUACAACACUUUUAAAAUAGAAUUUAAUAAAUGUUUAAUUAAUUUUUUCACAGCUGAUUAUUUUUAUGGUAUAACUAACAAUAAUCUAUAAACUUAUGGUAAAUAUUUGUGUGAAUGUUGGUCCAUGUAAAGAAGUAAAAACAACGCAUAUAUCAAGCAAUAAGAUAUCAAAACUCUUAGUAAAAUACAUAUACUAAUGAAAGAAUGACAGCAAUGCAAUAAAUAAGAUUAUAAUAUAAAUUAUUAAAAUUGUAUAUUAAAAAUUGAUGUAUGAAAUUCUUUUUAUUUUAGUGAUAGAUAAUGUGAUAUAUUUGAAUAAUUUGAUUAAAUGAAAAGAAAAAUAACAAGUAUGGUUGUGGAGGAAAUAAACCAUUGAACUGUGGAAUGUUAUUAAUUAUUGCUAUUUCAUUAUGUAACGUCCUGAUAAUAAGUACAGUGUUAUAGUAUAUUGAUGGGUGGUGAUAUUGUCACCCCUUAAAUUGUGUAAAGUCAACCUCAUUUACAAAUUUUUUGAUAUAAAUUAAAAAGUACAUUAGUUUUAAUAAAUUAUAUAUUUAUUGAAUAAACUAGAACCGUUAGGGAGCUGUAAUGUUAGCACUGUUUUAACUUAUUAUAAAAAAAAAAGUUAUGAUUUGAUCAUAACUCUAAUUUAGAAAAGAAAAAAGAGUUGAAUUGCUAACAUACUUAAAAAUAAAAUAAAAACAUUAUUAUUAGAUGAAAAAUUGUAAAACUUAAGGGGGCAUUUGCAAGUCCGCCACUACUCAAUAGAGCAUUAUUCAGUACUCGUUAAUAUAUCUCGAACUUUUAGGUUUUUUUAAUAUAUUUUUAAUACAUUUUCUAGAACAUUUAGAUAAAAAGAGUCAGUACUCCAAUUGAGUUGUGAAUAAACAUUUAGAUAAAAAGAGUCAAUACUCCAAUUGAGUUGUGAAUAAACUCAUGUUAAAAAAAAAAAAACUCAUUUUCACACUUGAAACGAUUAGUAAAUGGGUGAUACGAAUUUAACUUGGUCAAUAAUAUAUACCAUCUUAAGUUAACUUCAACUCAUUGAUCUUCUAUAGGGUUGAUCAGCCUGCCACAAGGCCCACAAAUUAUCACCUCUAAUGCUUUUGCAACAGUCGUUAUAAAUGCUGACAAAAUGAAACUUCUAUAUAUUUUGGUUUUUUUUUAUUUCUAUGAAAUAUAAGGCCCUUAUGGCAAAUUUCCAUCCAGCGUGAAAUUUGCUAGUUUGGCCUUGGUACUGUGGCACAUGCGUCAUGCAUGCGUGGCUGAGAUGCUUCUAAAACUAAUAAAUUAUGAAGAAUUCCAAAUUCGUACCAAAAAUAAGAGAAUAGGAGCUUGUCAUAGGUGUCCGCGGAUCGGAUUUUAUGGGUUAAACAUUAAUUCAUAUUUGAUUCGUGAUUUUGUAGAUUAUAAAUUUUUAAUUUAAUUCAAUUUAUGGAUUAGUGAAACUCAAUACAAAUUCAAUCCAUAUAUAUGCAAAUUAGAUGCGGAUUUAACCCAAUGCAUAUUCAAUCCAUCAUUUGGCGGAUUGAUUUGCAAAUUAAAAGUUUUUAAUUUUGUCCAAUCUAAAAAGUAAUUAAAUUAAAAAAAUCUAAUAUAUAAAUAAUUGAUUAAAUAAAAAAAUCUAAUGUAAAAAUAAUUUUACUACCAAUUAAAUUCAAAAUUGAACAAGAUUUAAAUAAAUUUAGAAUAAUACAUUCAAAAUUUUAAAAUAUAACACACCGAAAAAAAAAUUCAUUUAUUUAGAUCAAUACAUGAAAAUUAACUAAAAUUAUGAAUUUAAAUGUUGAAACUUGAAAGCUUGGAUGUAACAGGAAGAAUUUAAGAAACUUGAAGAGCUUGAAAAGAAAGUAAGAAAUUAAGUUUAAUUACCUCAAGUGGUGAAGUGAAACAGUGAUUGGCUUGUGCGUGCGGUGGGAUAGAGAUUUGGUGUUAUAUGUCAAAAUAUUUUGUUUGGCUUGGGGUUUUUGUUUUGCUUUAGAAAUUUUAAUGUUUAGGAAACUAUAUUUGCUUAUUUAAUUAUUUCUUAUUUUAUAUUGUUAUCGAAUAAAAUAUAAUAUUUUGUUAAUUUAGCUAUAAUUUUAUGCUGAAUAUAUUUAUUUAAAACGAUUUUAUUAAAUAAAUGUGCAUAUUUAACGAAGGUCUCUGAAAUUUCAACCUGCCUGCUAAUGAUAGCCAAUACGGCACGACCCACCAAAUGUCGGCCCACGCGGGCUUGUGGGCCAUGACGACUUUUUUUGUAAGGGCCCGGCACGGCCCACGGCACGAGUCCGUGCCCAAAAAAAGCCCACCUACCUUUUUUUUUUUUGUCCACAUGUUCAGCGUGCCUAAAAAAACCCACGUGCCUGACGUGCUUUUUUAAGCCCACCAGCCUAAUAGUAACAACAACAACAACAAUAAUAAUAAUUUCAUAGAAAUAAUUAAUGAAAAAUAAAAUAACAAUUCUAGAAUAACAAUUACAUCUAAUUUUAUUUGAACAACUAAUAUUAUAAUUGCACAUAAACUCUAUUGAAUGAAAAUGUAAUUUUUAAUUUAUUAUAAAAAUAUUUUGUUCAUAAUUUUAUUUUUUUGUGCGUAAAUAUGAAAAAUAUUUCAUUCACAAAUGAAACAUAUCUCCAUUAACUAUUAACUAAGUUAUGAUUUCAUAAAUGAAAUAUUAAUGUCGUAAAAUUUUUUAUUUAUCAUUUAUAAAAUCAUGAUAUUUAUUUAUCCAUUUAAUAAAUUAUAAACAUAAAAAAAUUAGAAUACUUAUUUAAACUAGGACUUAAAUUAAUUUUAAAAAGCCUAUACUAAAAAAAUAUAUUAAAAUUUUUAAUUUCAAGGUAUUUAUAAAAUCAUGAUAUUUUAUAUUUAUUUUUCAUUAAAAAAUUUUAUUUUGAUAUACUUUGGCCCACGUGCUAUUGGUGGCCCACGGGCCGCGUGCUUAGCCCACCAAUAAAGUGUGCUUAUUACAUGCCUUUUCGCGUGCCGUGUUUUGCCCCAUCUCUAAUCAUACCGUGCUUUUAAGGCCUGCGUGCCUAAAAUUCUAGGCCCGCCAGCCGUGCCGUGCCGUGCCGUGCCUCGUGCCGCCUGGCCCAUUGGCCAUCCCUACUGCCCGCCAACCACAUUUGUCCAAGAUCAAUUUGUAGGAAAAAAAUUUGAAAAUCAAUAAUUUAUUUAAUUAAUUGUUAAUGUAGGCAUUUGAAUCCCCACAAAAUCUGGGUGUCAGUUCUAGACUUCUGGUGAUAUAUUUUUCUAAUUAAGGAAUAAAAUAUUUUUGUCAUUUUUUUAAUAUUUUAAUUUACCAGGCAUAUCAACUAAUUAAUUUUUCUACUUAGACUAUUAAUUCAUUACGUGCGCAAUCUGUAGCCCGGCGCUCCAAUCCCAUGCAUGUUACACACAACUCAAUCAUUAUUUAUUUAUUUAUUUAUUUUGACCAACAACUCAAUGUUUUUUAUAGAGCUGUCAAAAUUUGACACGACCCGAUUACCCGACACGAACACGACAUAAAUAAAUGGGUAUGGGUCGUCAAAUUUAACACGAUUAUUAAAUGGGUCGGGUCCGGGUCAACACGAUUUUUUUCCGUGUCGGGUUUUGGGUUAAAAUUCUUGACCCAUUUACCCGAUCAAUGACCCGAUUAUAUUUUCUAUUUUAAAAUAAUUUACAUAUUCUUAUAAUUAAAACUCAAAUAUUAGAGAUGAUUUUCUUUUUUUUUAUUCUUUAAAAGGGUGAUAUAUUUUAUAAUAUCGAUAAAUUAUGUAUGUAUGUAUUUAUGUACAUACGUAUGUAUGAUAGUGUGGAAAUAUUUUAUGUAACUUUUGUUCAAUAUAUAGAUAUUAAACGGGUUAUUGGGUAACCCGAUUAUUUUUCCGUGUCGGGUUUGGGUCUCAAUAUUUUGACACGAUUAUUAAAUGGGUCGGGUUUGGGUCGACCUAAAUUUGACACGACACGAAACUGACACGACAUGAACACGACCCGAUGACCCGUUUUGCCAGCUCUAGUUUUUUAAUAUGAAAAGGUAUUGGUUAGCUUUGUCUUUAGUUUUUUCAACUUAUAAUAAGUUUGUAUUAAGGCUCCCUUUGGUACAGAUUUUCAAGUAAAACUUAUUUAGGGUUAUUUUUAGGGACCUCCCCUGAGGUUUGGUGUAUUAACAAUCUGAUAGAAAGUAUUCACGUAAUUACAAAGACCUCCCCUGACAUUUGUAUUAUGUUAAGUGGACUGUUAUUGACUAUUGAAAAUCCAAAAAUACCCUUCCUGCCAAAAUAUUUCUUUAUUCACUGAUGAACUGAUGGGUAAUUCGUGCCAAAAUCACAAAUUACUUAAGAAGAUGAAAAUAUCCAUUGGAUAAAAAAAAUGAAAUUGCUUAAUAAAAAAAUUGACAUUGCAUAAUAAUAAAAAAAAUUGAAAUAAUGUGCGGCGGCAUAGCUGCAUCUUGCAUGCAUAUUAUUAUUGUGAUUUUUUUAUUACAAACUCCAUCCUGCAUGCUUAUUAUUAUUGUGAUUUUUUUUAUUACAAACUACUUCAUAACUAAUACAUGCCACAAGAGCAGAGCUAUUAAAAGAAAUGAUUUUCAUAUUGUAAACUUGAUAGUACAGGUGUUGGCACCGACCAUAAAACCCUUAUGAUACCAAUCUUUGCUCCAUCCAUAUUUAAAUCCAGAUCAAGUAAAUAUUAAAUUGGAUUUCAGGUCCUGAAAAUCCCACUCUAUAAUUGAUAUCUUCGAGUUUUGUUGGUGCCUCAAACCUGGAUCUAGAGCAUCAUCUCUGUCAUACUCGGAACACCUAAACUAAUGGACUUGCUGCAGCUGCUUAUUCUUCUUCUGAAAUGAUGCACGCAGAUAGAUUACAGACUUUGAAAUAAGAAAUACAAUAAACAACAUGUAAUCGAACUUAAGAUUUCGGCAAACUUGUUUGAAAAUUAGAAUCAAACAAGGAAAAUGGCAAGUCAAUAUUUUUUAAUCUAGAAAAAGGGCAAUUUCAAAGUUUAUCACAUGCCAAAUUCAUAGUCUUGCAUCCACUAUUUUCUAGUUUGAAUAACAAACAAAAGCCUUAGACAAAAACACAGAGAACAUCUCACAUGGGAGCAAAAAUUGUGUGUAGAACAAUAUACUUAAGUUACAUGUGAUUACAAUCACAUUAUUUAGCAAAUACAAAAUUACCUUCUCAAAAAAAAAAAAAAAAAAAAAAACACCACCAAAUUAUUGAAGGUAUUACAACAAUAAGGCAAAAGAACACCAAAGGCAUGCACAAACCGAAACUAACACACAACUCAAUUAGUGUCAUGACCCCAAACUGAACAAUCAUAUAAACCAUUGUGGGCUCUCUAAAAGAUUAUCACAUUAUAAGCAAACAGAAACCUAUAUUUGAUGAACUACAUCUAGUACUUACACAACUCUUAAAUCAUUAGGAAAUUGCUCUUAUCAGUCAUUACCCAAUAGUUUUUUUCAACUCAACACUAACAACCCCAAAGAGAAACAACAUCCAGCACCAUUUUCAUUAAUUAAAACAGACCCAUUGUUAUUUUUAAUCAAUAAAAUAACAACAAUAUCGUGUAAGCCACUGAUUCAAGCAUUCAAGCUGUGUUUUCGAAGACUGACCUCUUCUUGCUAUCUAAUUCCAGUCACGAUAGACGCUAGAUGCCGGCAAUACUCGCUUCUUGGAAGCUCUGGACCACCGCACGACGUCAUCUUGUGCAGUAGAUGAAAAUAAAUCAAUGAUUUCAGAAAUUAUUUGUGAGUUGCAGACGCUUCUUCUCCAUGGAUGAAAAUGAUGGUGGGUUUUGUUCAAGUGUAAGCUGUGUUUACGAGGAGAAGUACACUUUGUGAAAAAAUCAUUUUCUUUCAUCUACUGGAUAAUGACUUUGGACUGGGUAAUGGUGUGUUUAAGUCUCUAUUUCACGGACAUUGAAGCAUAUUUUGCUUGAAUUUUGAUUUUGUUUAAAUUUCAAGUUUACUUUUACUUGUUUACCCUUUUAUACUGACGCUUAUGUAUUUUUAUACUAACGUUAAGGGAGGUCUUUGUAAUUAUAUGAAUACUUUCUAUCAGACUGUUAAUACAACAAACCUCAGGGGAGGUCCCUAAAAAUAACCCAACUUAUUUAAAUAGAACUUUUACAAAAAAAAAUUUAGUUAUUUGGUUGUCAAUAAACUUUUCAAGUAUACUUUGUUUGGUACAGCUUUUCAAGUAAAACUUAUUUAAGUAGAGCUUUUACAAAAAAAAAAAAAUUAGUUGUUUGGUUGUCAAUAAAAAUUUUUAUUAAAAAAAAUAUGAAAUUACUUUAUUAGUCAAGUUUUUUUAAAGUUAUGCUAUGAAAAGAAUAAAAUAAGAUUGUCAAAUAAAUAGAAAAUAUUUUAAAUAUUUUAACAUUUAAAAAAACUUUUUAACCUUUAUUUUCAAAAAUCUAAAAUUUAAACUUUUACUAGUAAAGGCAAAAUAAUUUAUUUAAACUUCAAAAGCUUUAUUAGAAAAAUAAUCAAACAAUAACAAAAAUUAUUAUAAAAGCUUAUCGAAUUAAAUAAGUACUUAUAGUUAUUAAAGAAGUUAUAUCUAACAGACACUAAUGCCGAAAGCCCCUUCUAAUUGUGGGUGUAAAAGUUUGAAUUAUGCAUACGGUUAAGGAGUUAAGGUGUGUUUGGCAACUGCAUUAAGUGGAAAUUUUUAUUUUGUUUCGAAUAAAAAUACAGCAAGCUCGUGUUCGGCUCAAAAUAAUGGAACGUUUAAUUUGCAACCGUCGGCGGACGAAGCACACCGUUCACGGCCCUUCGUAUAAAAUUGCAUAUGUAAACGUAAAUAGGUCCGGAUUCAGAUUCGUUGCUGUAGAGAGUGGCACGCACGAUCGGGCUGCUGUCGGUGGUAGGUUGGCAUUGGAAUUCUCAUCACGCGCUUCCCCAGGCGCCUACUUAUGGCAAAUUGACACGUGACGCGUGUGGAUUGAAUGGACAGAGUCCCGGGCAGUGUGUCCAAAGCUGCCAACCGUGCUCUGAUUUUUGUCAUCCAUAAUGGCUAACGACUAACGAGGGAGAUUUCCGGGCAGAAAGAAAUUGUUGUCGUUUCUGAAGGGGAAAAAAAAGUUAUUUAAUUUGUUGUUGAAGACAAAAUGAAGAUCUAAAUAAAUAAUGGCUAAUUUUGAGUGUAAAGCAACGGUAAAUGCAUUAUUAAAUUAGAUUUAGGGUCUGAUUGAGAUUAUUUUUAGAUUUAAAAUUAAUUUUGAAAAGUUAAAAUUAAUUUUGAUGUUUAUUAAUUUUUAUUAAAAAUUAUUUUUGUCAAAAUCUCUCAUCCUCCAGCAUAUUAUAAAAAAUAAGGAAGAAAUAAUUUUUUAAAAUUUAAUUUUAAGAAUCAGUUUUAUACUUAAUAUAAUCCACAUAUAUCCUCGUAAAUAUUAUAAAAAUUUAAAAUUAUUCUUAUUUAUUUAGGAUAUAAAAUUAUUAAAUUCAAACAUAUUAUUAUUAUUAUUAUUAUUGUUAUUAUUAUUAUUAUUAUUAUAAAUUCACACACGCACACACAUACUUAUAAAUUUAUAAAUAAACUUUAUUUAACAUUUUGUUCACUUAAAUCAUUUAUAUUCUUAUAGCAGUUUAACAUUAUGAUUUACCAAACACAGAUAAUUAUUUUUAAAAUCCAUAAUAUUUUUUAAAAUAAAUUUUAAUAAAUGUUUAACUUAUUAUUCUGACAACUGAUUUUUUUUGUAAGGUAUAACCAUUAAUAAUAAAUAUUUUAAAAGUUACAGUAUCCCCAAAUUGGCCCUUACUAAUACUCUGCGUUGCCAACUAAAUACUAAUUGUAACAUUAAACAUCUGGAAUAUUUUUCUCUAACGAAACAACACAAUUAAUUUCCCUCUAAAAAAGAAAAAGAAAAAGAAAAAAUAAACUACCAACCCCACCCCUUUAGACAGCAGAGUUUUAGCUGAGGCGGCUUGCUUGCAUAAGCAUUAAGGCUGCUCUUCACCAACCAUUGAACAUUCUUUCCAUUUGAUUGUUACACUUUACUUCGCCAUCUCAUGUCCAUGUACAUUGUUUUGAAAUGAAGACUUUGCGUACAACUAAUCUUUUUCAAUUCAUAAUAAAAACUCUUUUAAUUAGUUAAUAGCUAUAGCUUCCAAUUGAGACUAUAUAUAAAAAUCCAUAUUGACUGACCAAACCAAUAAUUUUUAAUUGGCUUGAGCAUUGUCUUACUUACUUCAAAAUCGUCACUCUCUUUGAAAAGAACAUGAGAGAGUUCACCUCCAUCUCAACCCUUAACCCUAUAUCUCAGUCAAGAGAUUAUUCAUGGAAAAUUCAGAAAAAAGAAAUGUUGCAAUAUUUACGAAACUCACGUCACGUGAGGUAAGAUAAAUUAUUCCUUUCUGCUUUAAUUCAUGUACAUAAUCAUGAGAAUAACUUUAAUUAUAGUUUAUUUCUCCGUUUUAAGAUUUUUCCUUUUUUUUUUUUAAUUAAUUAAUUAUAGUUCAUUCAUUAAUCCCAUAAGAAAUUAACACCUUUGCCGGUAAAGUCACACAUACAACAAUAUUUUAGAACAAAAGGGAAGAUCAUGCACGAUCAUGAUGUUUUAUUAUAUCUCUAGCAAUAUAAUUAUCUUAUAAUUAAUUAAAAACAAAACAGGUAAUUAAGCCAAAGUGGAUGGCAUGCAUCAAUCAUCAUGCAGAACACCUCCCCUUGUUUUAAAUAUAAAUAAAAGAAAUUUGUGCCCAGAAGACUUAAUUAAUACUUCUCGUUUCUGAAGUGCUCACAUGAUAUAUAGUCGGACGCAUUAUAUUUAAUUUCAUGAAUUAAUCGUACGGUUGUAUUUUGAGAGAGAGAGAGAGAGAGAGAGUGACUGAGUAAGAUAUGGCUUAAUUUAACCAAAUCUACGUAUAAAAUUUUAAAAUGAAUUUUUGAGUUUUAACUUAGGAAUUGUCUAUGAAUAAAAGUGUUAAUCAAAUAUUUCGUGUAAAAACAGUCAGCUGUAACAUUUUCGGUUGCUUUAACAAAACUGUAUAUUUCUGUAAUUUCCUAUAUGGGCCAAAAGGAACAUUUUUCUCAGAAAUUAAAAACUUAUGGUGAAAAAGAUAAGAAAACCAACAGGUUCAAAGGUGCGAGUAAACUGGGCUCUGGUGCGCCCAACUCCCUCUUUUGAUUUUGAGACUCUAUUGACCAUUGAGUUUGAGGCCCCAACGGCCCAGUUUAAAACUGUUAUGAAAAGAAAAAAAAUAUAACUAUAAAAUUAAAAUUAAUAAUGUUUGAUAAAUAUAAUUUUUAAAUAAUAAUUUGACAAAAAUAAUAUAGGGUCUUGUGUAUAUUUUUAUUUGGCAUUUCAAUUAAUCUGCUUAUAUAUAUAUAUAUAUAAGUUAAUCUAUAUUUCUUGCAAGAAGAUAGUAUUUCUUUAAUUAAAGUCAUAACUAAUAUAUAAAUUAUCAACUAACCAUCAAACAUUUAUCUCAUUUUAUCUCCACCACGAUCAUCACCAUUCAUCCUGUCACGAUCUUUAUGUAACUACAAUUAUUUUUUCUUUAAUAAUGUCAACCCACCAACCCCAUAACAAUAUCUCCAAACAUCUCAUCUCAAAAUUCCUAAUAACAUAAGUGUUUAUGUAUGAAAGAAAAUGUGAAAUAUAUAAUCAAAAAGUAGUUUAAUAAUAUAAUGUUUAAAAAUUAUGGUAAAAAUAAGUGAGAGUUUGGCAUGGCAAGUUAAUAAAAAGAUAAAAGCUCGGACACUUGAUGCAUCAAAGUAGCAAUGUCUGUCCAUCAUUAUCAUCAUGCGGGUUUAGGUGCUUCUCAUGAUAGCAUUAGCUGGUAAGACCAUCAUGCAUCGUACUUUCAUUGUUAUACAUUUUGAAGGUAAGAAUGGUUAUGUUACGUCCCUCCGAUUAGGUGUAUUUUUCUUCUUCUUCUUCUUCUUUUUCUUCUUCUUGUACGUAAUAAUUUCUCUUUCUUCCAUGAAGAUUUCUUUCUCUCUUUCUUUUUUUUUUUUUUAUUAUAAAUAAAAUGAUAAGAACUAAUUUCCUUACUAAUUGGUAGGGUCGUUUAAUGGUUCAGAUCCAUUAGAUUUUGUCAAAUUCAAGUCCAAUCCAUCAUAUAUUCCAUUUUAUAUUCCGGAUCCGAUCACUAAUAGAAAUCCAUUAUAAUUUAAAACAAUAAAACGUCGAAUCCAAUUUAAUUCGAUAUGAUCAAUCCAAUUAAAAUAAAAAUUUACAAAUAAAAAUCAUUAGUUGCUCUCUCCAGUUAUAAUUCUUAACAAUUAAAAAAAAUACAAAAUAUCAACUCCUUUAAUAUUUCAUGAUUCAUGUACUUUAUUAUCAUAUGGUUGGAAAAAAAAGUUGAAAUUUGAAUAUUAAAAGCAAAUGUUGGUUGCGACCUGCUGUUUGUAUUCUAUAUUGUUAUAGUAUAUUUAUAGUUAUUUUUUUAGCAAGUUAAAUAUAAAAGUGACAUAUAGUUUUUUUUUAUAAAAAAAAAUAAAUAAAGAAAAUAAAAAAUUAAUUGGUUGGAUUGGUUUAUAUUGGAUUUGAACAUAUAGAUCCAUAGACCAAUCUAAUAACAUUAUAUUUUUUAUUUUGCAAUCUUAUCCAAUCCAAUCAAAAUGUCAAUAUGACAAAAGUUGGAUUGGUUUUGAUCAGAUCGAUUGGUUUGAUUGGAUUGAAUUGAAUUAGAUCUUGAACAUCCUACCAAUUAGACUUUCCGUGAUUUUUUUUUUUCCAAAUUUAAUAAAGAGACUUCCCAUGAAUGUUAAAUGCAGUUUUAUUGAUGAAUUCUGCAAUUUUAAGAAAUGUUUGAUACACGAAUAAUGCAUCUCAUCAACCAAGUAACUGCGUCCCCUGCAGCAGCCGCGGCUUCAACUGGAAUACUGCAGCCACACCGGUCUUGAGACUCAACAUUCGGCCGAAACUCAAGCAAAAGUUGAACAAUAUCAGGCCUGCUUUGAGCUAUAGCAAUAUGAAGCAAUGUUUGUCCCUGCGCACCAGCAGAAUCAGCUGGGUGGGUUCCAAGCAGGGUCACUCUGUUCAAGAACCUCUCUUAUCUCAUCCAUUUCACCAUCCUUAACUAGCUGAACCACAACAUGGGACCCAACAAACAUGAUCUUGAUUCCUAUUGAUGAACGCUGGCUUCUUCCUUCUUGUGAACCAGUCACCAGGAACCGAAUCAAGCAUCAAUGUUGCAUCUUUAAUUGCAGCUGCAGGAACGACAACGCUAUGCAAGAGGAAGGAAUCAUCACAGUGAGGGAAAGUAUGAAGGAGAACUGAUCCUGGAGGAAGAUGAUACGCAAUCUCUAUGCUUACUGUUCCGAGUGGUUGCAUUGACCUGAAUAGUUCGAUCUAUUUCUCGUGUAUCUACUUGCGCUGCACUUUCACUCGAAGAACCUACAAAAUUAUUCAUAACCCGGCAUAAAAAAGACGUAAAGUUUUCAGCGCGAGCAUGGUAACUUCAAAACCCGUUUCAUACCUAUCAUAUUUCAUUCGUCCCGCACCCUCAUUUAAAAGACUAGAGCUUAUAAAAACUAGAAGUACCUUACCCAGAACAUAAAAGCAGACAAAACCCAGUCGAGUAUAAAUAUAACGUUGAAUAACACCUACCAUUUACCAUUUCAUUCAAGAACACCACACAAUUAACGAAACCAACAUCGGUAUGUUUUCAGCCGUUGUACUUUCAACUUAAUUUUGAAAGCGCGGCAGCUAAAGCCUAAACUGUUGUUUGAUAAAAGUCCACCCACUGACUGCUACCUGGCGGCUACCGAUUCCAUUCAAUAGCAGUCAUAAAAUAAAAAGUACAAAACAAACCUAUGUACAAAAAAGGCAAUGAAGCAGCCAUGGAUUCAGUUAUUUGCAUGUUUGGGAUUGUGGUUGAUUCCAAAUUGAGAAUAUACUGCGAAAUUAUGUUUGAUAAGCAUUUAUCUGAUGAUUGCUACUUUAUUGAGUGCCUGUUUGGUAUGGCUUAUUUAAAAGCCAUAAGUGCUUAUUUAAUCGUAUAAGCACUUUUUUAAAAUUUUUAUGGUGUUUGGUUAUUUUUUUAGUAGAGUUUUUUUAGCUUAAAUAAGCUAAUUUACCUCUACUAGCAAAAGCCCAAAAUUUGAGCUUUUGGGAGUAGAGGUUAAAGAGCUUAUCUAAAAAAUAUAUAAUAAAAAAAAUAUCAUACAGUUUAAUGAUUCAAAAGUGUUUUUUUUAUUGACAACCAAACACCCAAUGACUUUUUGUCCAAAAACUCUAUUGGUAUAAGCUCUACUGCUAUAAGCUCUAUUGUUAUAAGCUCUAUUUAAUAAGCUGUACCAAACGGAGCCUAAAGCAUUCAUUUUUUUUUUUCGCGUUUGGCCUCUUCACUUUUUAAAAAAUUUUAUGGUGUUUGGUUAUUUUUUUAGUAGAGUUUUUUUAGCUUAAAUAAGCUAAUUUACCUCUACUAGCAAAAGCCCAAAAUUUGAGCUUUUGGGAGUAGAGGUUAAAGAGCUUAUCUAAAAAAUAUAUAAUAAAAAAAAUAUCAUACAGUUUAAUGAUUCAAAAGUGUUUUUUUUAUUGACAACCAAACACCCAAUGACUUUUUGUCCAAAAACUCUAUUGGUAUAAGCUCUAUUGUUAUAAGCUCUAUUUAAUAAGCUGUACCAAACGGAGCCUGAGUCUUCAAAGAAAAACUCAAUCAACUAAUGCUCGAUUUUUUUUUUUAAAUGACAAAUCAAAAAGUAUUUUGGAGUAGAUUCUCAAAAGAGUGAUUAUUUGAUAAUCCACCAUAAUCCCACUUAGUUAUCAGAAAUAAAUUAAAAUCCGACGAAUGUUACUUAAGCCAAACAGCAUUAUUUUAUUUUGACCACAAGGACCACAACCCUCAAGCUGUCAAGCAACCGUUACCGUUAACGACCAAUCUUUCACCUCUCCGAAUCUUUGCAAGUCACUAUCAAGCAACCGUUACUAAUAUUUAAUCAAUUAUUAGGAUUAUUGGAUUUCUCAAAUACCUUAUGUACUUUGGUUCACUUUCUACUAAAAUAAAUAUUACAGGAGCUUUCAAAGUCUAGGCUAAGGUUGUUGUAAACAUAGAGAGAUUCAGAGAUAUAACAGCUUGUAAUUACAUACCACAAAGCAUAACUUUGUUCGAAUGAUAAUGAUCAUAAUCCAGAUUAUAGACGUAGAGAGAGGAGAAGUCGUACUUGAGGGGCAAAACGCGGCGUUUUGGCUCGUGGAUGAGGUGCUGCUCCUGAUCGUCGUAGAUUGAAGGGAGGAGAGGUCGGUCGAGGAAGUUUAGGAGACGGUGGAGGCUGAAUUGGUGAAUUUCGAUGAAGACUGACGAAUCCAAUGGGGCUUGAGGGUUUGAUUUGCAAAGAUGAAAGAUAAGAGCAUUGUUUUGGUUUCUGUGCAAAAAAAAAAAAAAAAAACAUGACAAGCGUUGUUUUGGUUUUGGUUCUAAAAAGAUGAAAAUUUGACUGCAAUGGAUCCAUACGCAGUCGGUGUCAAAUAAGAGGAGAAACAAAUAUGUUAAUCACUCGCUCAAUCACUCAUGCGAAGUGCCUUUUUUUUCGUUGCUUUGGCUUCUGAGAAAUAUAUGCAUCAGAUAUUACAACUCUCGAGGAUAAUGCAUUUUGUUCCGGUUUUGACUGAUAUUUAGUGGCAUUUGAUAAACUGAUACCUCAGAACCUGGUAGAGAGUUUAUUAAAUACAAAGAGAACAAAAAUAUAUGACUAUAUAAGCUUUUACACGGUUGAAGAUCCGGUCAAAUUGGCUUUAGUUAGCAAGAUCAUUUAAAACUUUCAAAAAACGAAUGGUAUCAAAAAGCUCUGAGAAAAAGCGGAAAAAAGGCACCACAAAGAUCUUGCAAUUAUUAUCACAGCUUGAUAAGACAUGGAAAUGUAUCUUACAAAUUGGCCUUCCAAGCAUCAAAGAAUUGGGUGGCGACAACUCCCAUUCCUAGCUGCUACCGUGGCCAGUCCCUUCUAACUAAAAUGGGACAGGACCAAAAGCAAGGUCUCUCCCACUCUCCUUAUGUAUAUAAAAUUCCCUACAUUCGAAUAAAACUACAGAAAAAGAUUUGCACAUCAUCUUCUUUCACCUUAUUUUGCAAUCUUCAAGAGUUUGGAAGAUUUCAAAGCACUUGUUAGAAUGUAGCACUCCAUUAAGCAUUCUCACCUUCCCCACACCCCAAUGGACCUCCUUAAUCCUAUCGGCAGACCUACAAAUUCUGCUGCAACUCCAAUCAAAUAAAGCAACACAAUUGUUGCCUGCCUAAGCCUUCCACUCACAGCCUGCAAUGACAAGUUCAUGAUACAAAAUCAGAAACAUUAAUAAACAAAAAGAUAUUACCAUUACUUGCAGAGGGGGAUUUGUUGCAAUUAGUAAAUGCCAUACUUAUCACUUUCAUUGCAGAUAUCAUCAUCAUCAUAAUACUAGCAAUCCAGCACUAAUAGUCAGAAUAAUAAUAAUAGUAGCAUGAAUAAAGAAUUUCUGCAGAGUAAGCUCUAAAGAUGCCGAAAGUGUCAUCUAUUAUGUUAAUAAUAAAAAAGUCUAUCAAGAAUUCAAGGAAAGAAAACUCAUUAACAAAGAACUAAACUUUUUAAUAAUGUUUAAUAAACUACGUACCUAUGAUUUUCUAUUAUUAACAUAAAUGACACUACGUACAACUGAUUUUCGCUUUCUAAUGUUUCAAAUCAUACCGAGAAAUAUAACAAUUACCAAGUCAGUAAGUAGCACAAUUACUUAAUAAGACUUUGACUUGUCUAACCCAAAAUUGUACCCAAUUCUAUACUCUACCAUGAAAAGCUUAUGAAGCCGAACUUACUUUGACCAAACAGUACUAUUAGCUCAGUUAAAGGAAACCACAAUUGAACAAAGUUCAGCUGAAAUAACUGAACUAAAAAAACUUGAUAAAAUUAAAAGUAACUUAUAACAGUUUAGUAAAGAAGCAUACAAAACAUGAAGAUAAAUAAACAUAGGUCUAUUUUCUUGACACUACCAGGUCCUUUCCUUUUUUUUUUUUCAGAUAAGAUCUCGAUACUACCAAGUUUUGGAUUCAAAAUCACCAUAUUACAAUAAUAGUUGUGAUUCAUGGGAUACAAUAUGUAGCAGCUUAUAUGUCGGCAAUUAUAGUCAAAGAUGGUUGUCAAACAUCAUCGCAAAUCAAGAAGCUAAUAAAGACCAUGUCACACUACAUUAACAUAUAUCAGUUCUUUGAUACAAAGAUAUUGAAUGUUAUACAUUUCUAAUCCCAAGUCCUGAAAUACAAAACAAAAGUUCACUUCACACAGUCAUAAAGCUAGACUGCUAGAUAAAUGGACAAUAGGCAUUGGAUAUGGGUCAAUAAACUAUUAAGCUAAUUAAUGCACACGAAGGAAUCCGUUAGAGCUAGUAAAAUAGCCCUUACCAGAGAACUCGCAGAAGCAUUCAAUUUCCUCAAAGGAGAUAACUUACAACAUAAACAUUUUGAUAAGCAGCAACACACAUAAAAUAGCUUCACUCACUAGCAACAGAGCAACUUCUUCAACACAUUAAUAAAUCCAUUUUCAUUUUUAAACAACAAAAUAAUGCCCAGUUUCUCCAGCACAAAUAGGGUAAGCAGUAAUAGAAAAACAUGAUACAUAGGAAUUACCGGCCUCAAGAAAUCUCCAAGCUUUCUGUCCUCUGCUUCAAUUGCUCAAUCAAGAAUGCCCCAGACGUUGCGCUAGCGUGGUGGUGGAGCGUCGCGAAGCGUGUGGCGGCGGUGUCGGCGAAGGCAGGUCAUGAAGAUAGUUGGUGUCGCGCAGCGAAGGCAGUGCAGCUGGUGUCAUGCGGCGAAGGCAAAUCGCGUGGUGGUGGAGUUGGGGUCGCGCGGCAGUGGCGGUGCGGUGCUGAGGCAUAAUAGUGGCGGUGGCGUUGUGCGACAGUGGCAGUGUGGAGGCAGAUUGCGUGGAGCUGGCGGUGUUGAGGCAGAUCGCGUGGAGGCAGAUGCCGCGGUGGUGGAGUUGCUGUCGCGAUCAACGCCUGUGAAAGGGAAUGAAAGUGAAGGAGAUACCUACAAAAGAAAGAACGAGUGAAAUUUUUUUUUUUGUUCAAGGGUUUCAAACCCACAUAAACCCGACUCUCACACGGGUUCAGUAAGUUUAUGCGGGUUUGACUGCAUUACAAAUUGGUAUGACCACAACAACAGUACAAUGAUUGGUAAUUACCAAACAUGCUAUUUAUGUUGGUAUUAAAUUAAUUUAAUACAAUGAGGAGUGGUAAUAUCAUACAAUGAGGACUGUUAAAUAUGGUGUGUUUAAUAUGUUGUAUUGUAUUAUAUUAUUUUAAUACAAAUAUAUUAUAUUAUCUUGUAUUAUAAUAUAAAAUAAUGAAAAAUAUCGAAUUUCAAUAUAUAAAAAAAAAAUAAAUAUAUUUUGUUAUAUUCGAUCUGCUGUACGGCCAAGGCGGAUGUACGGUACAGCAGAUAAGAAUUUAAAUACAUACACUUAUAAUACAACUUAGUUUUUCCACAUUGUCGAGGGAUCAAAACAACCCAUCAUUGGAGUCCAAUAAGUUAUGUGGCGACACAAAAAAGUAAUUCUAUAUUUUUUACGUCAUAAAUAUGUAAAAAAAAUUGUAUUAUAUCUUAUUAUUAUUAGUUUUUUUUCUUCAGUUUUGACAAGUAUAGUUUUCUUGUUGAGUGGCUCAACAAGGCUGGUUACAAUUUCGAAAUAAUGUUCCAUCUGUAUCUGUUUUCCUUUUGUUUUUGAUUUUGUAGUAUAGUUAAUUUGUACGAAUUUGUUGCCUGGUUGGUUUUUAUGCUGAAAAGUCAGUUCAUUGGAAAUGACAGAAAAUUGUUUUUCUUUUUCAUUUUUACAGAAAGAGAUUUGCAACGUUAUAAAAGUAAGAGAUCCUAAGAGAUCCCUGAAUCAUAUUAAAUAUUAAACUUAAGAUACAGUCAAGGCUUUUAUUAUGUUACUAAUCAUGUAACGAAUAUAAUUAUGUAGCAGUCGUUAAAUACAAAUUUAACAGUUAUAAAAAUAACAUGAUUUUAUUAUCUUAUAUUUCUAUAAUCGUUGAAUUUUUAUCUGCUGUACCGUACAUCCGCCUUGGCCGUACAGCAGUAUUGAAUUUUAAAAAUUUAAUAUUAUUUUUUUAAUAUAAAUAUUAAAAAAUAUCAUAAUUCUUCAUAGAAAUCGAAGUUCAUGGCAUUAAAUUUUUAACGCCGCAUACAUAAUAAAAAAUUUGAUUCUCUAGUGCCAAUAUAAUAGAAUACAUAAAAACGAGACUGAGAAACUACGAAUAAAGCUCAUCAUCAAGGACUCCACAACAUUAUAAGAAGUACUAUGUAACAUUUGCCAAAUUACAACACCACAUCAAGACAUAUCACAAUGUAAAAUUUUUCCUAGAGAUUUGGUAAUUGAAAAACACAAUUCAAGUUGAAAACUGAUAGUCGACUUGAAAAGUUUUAACAUAUCCCAUAAAAGAAAUGUGCCAUGCCAAAAAUCCUAACCCUUGGCUCUUUGACGAUAAGAAAAUAUUGAAAAUUCCAAAGUACAGUGCAAUGGGAGAAAGAAUGCCUAUAAAGCUAGUAAAGAUAUUCUUAAACUACUAUUGGGAUGUUGGGCUGGUUGGUAGCAAAACCCAAACCCUGCUGCUGAUUUCCGAUACCACCAUCUUGGAUAAGCCGCUCUCCCUCCUCUUCCUAACUCCUAAGCCCAAUAUCUUUCCAAAACCUUCACAACCCACUCAUAAAUCUCAUUGUUGUCGUGGAUAUGCAAAUUCUCAAUCUUUUCUACUCCAUCACACUCAUCAAUCAUUUGGGUAUAAACAUUAACCCAAUUAUCCAUUCCUAUUUCCUUGUUAACCUCACCCACCUUGAAAAUGUUCUCAAGACCCUAUAGACAAACUGUGACGAUCCUUUGGUCCAGACAAACCAGAAGAUCACAGAGCGGUUUGAUGCAACCUUGGCUCACCAGGAAUCUGCAGGACCAUGGUACCAUAAGUGAUUCUAUCACAUGAACAUCAUUAGAUUAAAAAAAGAAAAAAAAAAGAAACAUCUAUCGUAUGAACAUUGCUGAGUGAAUAAAAGAAACAUACUGAAUAUGUUCAUGAGAUCCUCCAUAUGUGGCAUUUAAGACAGGCCAUGCAGCCUCCUUGAUUUCAAGUUCUGCAUGUUGAAGAAGAGGUGCACAAAAGGAAGGAUAAGGAAGGAUGAUAUUGGCCUCCAUAACAGCCUGUUGAACAAAAAUUCGACAAAUUAUAAUUAUGAGUAUAUUUAAGUAGCAAUUUUGUCAGAAUUAACUAGACUUGACUAUUGAGGAAGUCACAUUCAAAAAUAGAAAAGACGAGCAAGCAAUUGUAUUCAUGCUAUCGGGACCAAAAUACUAUGAUGCAAGCAAGAAAGAAAAACAUACAUACAUAUAAAACACUAUCUUUGAGUUGGGUAUUUUCUUUCAAUUUUGAUAAUGGCAACUUUGGAUUCUUCUGCUGAAUUACCACCACCACCACACCAUUGUAGUUUCACAUACUAAGAAAAGGCAGGUUCAGCUCCCGUGCAUGCCCAUAAGAAUAUGAUGUAUUAAUUAGAAGUAAAAUUAAUCUGUUCAAUUAAGUUCUCUCAUAUAUUUGUGUGCGUGUGUGUGUUAAUUAGUUUGCUUUCAAAUCUUUUCUCCCUUCUUAAUGAUAUAUAUUUUAAGCAUGAUAUCAACCACGAUGAAUUUAUUAGCCGAUUUUUAAUUAUACAUUCAGCAUGAUAUCACAAACCAAGAGCUUAAGUUAGCCUAAUUCUUCAUAAAUCUAAUAAUUGCAAUCAAUAAUAAUGCUGAAAAUACGAGUUUGAAUUAAGCUAGCAACUGGUUCUUAAAUUAUGCAAUAUGUAAUCAUAGGUUUACUUAAAGAUUAAAGCAUUUCUGCAAUCCAUUGUGCAAAAAGAUUAAAAAAAAAAAAAAUAGUUGCCAAAUUUUAUCUAAAUAAAAAUUCCUUUAGUGGUUAGUACUUGUGAAUUAUAGAAAUUAUUAUUAGUACUUGCUCAGCGCUUUUUAGAUUUGUACAGGUAGAUUACGCCAUUUCAAACCCGACCAUCCAUUUAGACAUACAAAUCCCCCCAAUUCCCUGUCCUCCGCCUUUACGCGACUCUCCACUGUAUGUGCCAACUAAUUAAUUUUUUAAUUACUUGUUUAACUAAUUAAUUCAUUUUCUCAAAAGCAAGAUUAAUCUAUUUGUUCAAAUCUGAAGGAGAUUAAGUUAAUUGAUUUUAUUGUAUGUAAAAAUAUACAAAGAACUCAUGAAGCCAACUAGAAAAAAAAAAAAAGACAAAAAAAAAAUCAAACCCAGAAAUAAAAAGACAUGCUUCGACAGAAAAUUAAUGAAAAUUAUACUGAUUGUGGUUCAAUUUGAUCAAACCCAAAUAAUAACCGGUUUGAUUGAUGACUCAGCGGCAAAGUGCAGGCGCAUCAGUGGUUGCACAGAUGAGUGUUCUCGUGCGGCACGACAAAGCAAUUGUCGGCGAUUGUGAUUGGUGAUGACAUCGAGCGAUGGGGGUAAUGGCAUCGGUCGUGACUUUGUGAUGGAGAAACGAAUGUUAGAUUCGUUCGAAGAUUCGUGUUUUGAUUGAAUAACAAAGAGAGAUUUUAUGAGUUUUAAUUAUCUAAUACGAUACCGCAUAAACCCGACUCGUACGUGGGUUUAUUUUAUGCGGGUUUCGGUGUACUAAAGCAGUAAAUUUAUGUGGUGCAAUUCAAACUGAUUUCACCGCCAAAAGAUCGUGUAAAUUUAAUAUUAUACAGGGUUUUAAUACUAUGUAAUCCAAUACACCAAACAUGCCCUUAAAAACGGAUAGCAAUCCGGGGCCUUUAAAAACGGAAAAUACAAGCAGAGAAAAAGAAAAGCCAAUUGUUCAAAAGUGCCUAAUAUGCCCACGGAAAAUUUUCGUCACGACCCACAGUUACUCGAAUAGGUAAUAAGACAGGAAUGCCUUUGUUUGUUCGAAUAUAGAAGCACAAUGGCUCAGAAAGGAUCCCUCCAAUCUCCUUGGCACUGUCAGCUGGGUGCGGAGUAGCUUGGUGGCAGCAACCAUGUUUGAGAGGGCUGGCUUCACCUCAGUGUACUUGCGAGUCUUGAGACCACAGUCAGGGUUAACCCACAAAAUGUUGGUUUCUAGCACAGUACGCAUCUCGUAGAUUCUGUCAACAAUUUCUUCGGUUGAUGGUAUUCUUGGAGAGUGGAUGUCAUAGACGCCAGGGCCAAUUGCAGCAUCAUACUGGACUCCCUCACGGAAGACUGACAGGAGAUUCUCAUUAGAACGAGAGUUCUCAAUGGUGAUCACAUCAGCAUCCAUGUCGAUAAUUGAGUGGAUAAUGUCGUUGAAGUUGGAGUAGCACAUGUGGGUGUGGAUCUGUCAAUCAAUAAACAAUAGAAUGAGAUACAAAAUCAACAGCUAAAUUAAAGAGAUGAGAUUGGAGAUUAAAAGGGUAACUGACCUGGGUAGUGUCCUGGAUGCCACAGUUGGUGAUUCUGAAGGAGUGGACUGCCCAGUCCAAGUAGAAAGCAUGCUCAGAUUUCCUGAGAGGCAAUCCUUCCCUCAAGGCAGCCUCAUCAAUUUGAAUAACGUUAAUGCCUGCCUUCUCAAGAUCCUCGACUUCGUCCUUGAUGGCCAAAGCAAUCUGGUAGCAGGUUUCAUGUCUGCAAAAUUGGCAGCGAUUGAUGUUAAACAAUGUUUCCAUUCCAAAAGGUUAACCAAUAGUGAACCAGUUCUCAUUUAUAUACCUGGGCUGGUCAUUUCUGACAAAGGACCAGUUGAGAAUGGUGACAGGGCCAGUAAGCAUUCCCUUCAUUGGGCGAGCAGUCAUGCUCUGAGCCCAGGAGGACCAGAAGACGGUCAUAGCCUUGGGACGGCUCACAUCACCAUAGAUGAUGGGUGGCUUCACACAGCGAGAUCCAUAGGAUUGCACCCACCCAUUGGCAGUGAAGGCGAAACCUGAUAACUGCUCUCCAAAGUACUCAACCAUGUCGUUUCUCUACAAAAACAAAUGUCCGAAUUCAAUUUGAGAUCCAGCAUACUUCGUAUGCAAUUAGAAAUGCAGAAACAAAAAUGUAUAAAAUUUUAUGUAAUUCAAAACCAGGAGACAUUGCUUUGCUUCCAUUGGGCAUUGCGAGACUCACCUCAGGCUCUCCAUGGACAAGGACAUCAAUAUCAAGCUCUUCUUGGAGUUUGACAACCUUGUUGAUUUCCUCCUUGAUGGAAGCAACAUAUUCUUCCUCAGAAAUCCUAAAAAGGACAAAUAGUCACGGCACAGUUAAUACAGUAGUUGCAGUAAUUUCACACAUGGCAUUGAAUGAAGAAACACCUCAGAUUGACUCACUUCUUAGCCUUGUAUUCACGGCGGACUCUCCUAAGUUCAAUGGUUUGUGGGAAGGAUCCAAUUGUGGUGGUUGGGAGGAUUGGAAGAUUGAGCUUCUUCUGUUGAGCAUCUAAUCUAGCACUAACGUUUGUAGCACGUCUGUGGUCUGAUCCCCUCAAAGCAGCAGCCUAAUAGACCAAGAGGAAGGAAUCACUGUUAGCAAAAAAGGAAAUUCUAAGGGACAGCCACAUCAUAAAAAUGGAAAACAAAUCAAUCAUGCCACUUACAGCCUUUUGAACUGCCUCAUUGGUCACUCUCGGGGAGGACUUUCUUGAAGCCUGAGCUGCAGCAUUGGCAGAGAAGAAUCCCUGGAAACAAAUGAUAAGGAGAACCAAAGUUAGUCUCAUUCAUAUCAUUUUAAAAAGAAGAUACAUAUGCAAUUAGUGGGCUGAUUGUGAGAGAAAAAGUCCCCAAAACUUUAAUCAAACACCAAAUGCCCAAGUUGCCAAAUGAUGUUUAAUUCGGAAAAAUAUAUUUAAAAACAUUCAAAUAUAAUUUCCCCUUCUAAAUUUUCAUUUUCAACAACAUAUUUUACAAGCCAAGCUCAACGUCAGGCCAAGAUUUUGUGCUCCUAUAAUUAUAUUUUACCAUAAAACUAGGUCCUUGAAAGGCUAAGAUUUUCUGACUCUUGUGACUAGUCAAAGCCUAAGAUUCUUUCAAUUCAUCCGUAGUAAAAGUAUACCUCAUCCUUUUGGCCAGCCAAAGCCUUGGCCAAUGCAUUGACUUCAACAACUUUCUGGGCAGCAAAUGCCAGCCAUGACUUGAUUUCGUCGUCGAGUUUGUUCUCAUUAACAAGAUCAACAGCAGUGUGAAGAAGUGAGCAGGAGGUGGAGACCACAAGCUUGUCUGCAAAGAAAAGUAAUAAAUUAUACAACAAAUCCCAUAAUAGAAUAAGAAAUAUUUAUCACAAAGAAAAAUGCAAGCAAAGGAUGUAUACCUUUGCCAACAACACCCUCAAGCCCCCGGAGAACACUAAGAGAAGCAGCAAGAUCAUUGGCCCAAAUGUUCCUUCCAUCAACCACUCCAGCAAAGAGGUACUUGCCAGCAGGGAAUCCACUCUUGAUCAAUUCAAGGGUCUUGGUUCCACGAACCAAAUCAAAUCCAUAAGCGGUGACACCCUUCAAAGAAGUGAGGGUCUGGAAUGCCUCAGCUGGAACAUCAGCAAAGUAGGUCUCAACAAGAACAUUCAAGCCAGACAGAGUUGACUCUAGUUCCGCGUAAGCCUCACUGAAUGCUUGCAAUUUGUGUGAGUCAAGAUCCGUAACAAGCAAUGGCUCAUCAAACUGAAUCCAGGAAGCACCAGCAGCCUUAAGCUCAGAAACAACUUCCCUGCAGAAGUGUUAAUUGGUACGACACGGAUUAAUGAUGCCACACGAUACACACACACACACACACACACACACACACACACACACACACACACACACACACACACACACACACACACACACACACACACACACACACACACACACACACACACACACACACACACAGACAGAGUUAUUUAGCACAUACACGUUUAUAAAUCUGUAAAUAGGUGAUAAUUCUUACUUGUAGAUCGGAAGGAUUUUGGGAAGAAGAGAGAGAACAGAAAAGGUCUUCUCAACCCCCCAGGCAGGCUUAGACAGCAACAAGUAUGACACAGGGCCAAUAAGCACUGGGACAGUUUCAACUCCAUGCUGCAGCAUUAGACAAGUGGUAGAUAUUAGCAUCUCACAAACUUGAUCUGACUGAUAGAAAGUUACAAGCAAGUUAAGAAUAUGUUUGAUGAAAUUUCAAUGAAAAAUCUUCAGGGUCCACAACAUGUUGACUAUACCCUUUUUAAGUAAUUUAUCUUAAGACUAUUUUGCAAACAGUAUUGCUUCCCUUUACAGAUCAAAUAAAUCAUACAACAUCUGAACGCAUUUCCUGAGCCAAAUAUAAGUUCAAAGCUCUAUAAUAAAUGUCAAUGACUCUAUAGUAAAUUCCAUCACAUUCUGAGCUAUGGAUGAGCAUAUCAUAUGCCAAUUUCAAGUUGAACGUAACCCAAUUUCAACAUAUUGUAGAUUCAAGUAUCAAACGAAAAAAAAAAUAUUGUAAAUAUAGACAGAACUGAGAACAAACACUCACCCCCUUAGCCUCCUUGUACUCAGUCACAGCCUUGUGGGAAGCGUAGGAGAACUUAACAUCGGGUCCCAAUUCAGGAACAAUGAAAUGACUGCAUCAACACGAAGCCAAACACACGUCAGCAUUCAGUACAAAACCAUUACACCAUAACUAACUUGAAAUGCCGCUCUUCCAAGUAGUGAAUACUUACUAGUUGGUGUCGAACCACUUGGUCAUUUCCAUUGCGAGAACAGAGGCGUUUCCUCUGGCCAUGGAGAAGUAAACAUCGAAUCCAAUCUCGCCGCCGUUCCAGUUAAACCUCGGGGGCACGGCACCGAGCAUUGCGGUGGUGUCGAGCACUUGGUCGUAGUAGGAGAAAGUGUUGCUGGGAAUGUAUUUGAUCCCGGCCUCGGACAUCUGUUUCCAGAUGGAGGAUCUGAGAUCAGCGGACACCUUUUGCAAAUCCUCGGCGCUGCUCUUGCCAUCCCAGAAGGAUUCCAACGCGAACUUGAGCUCCCUCUUGGGGCCCAUGCGUGGGUAACCAACGAUGUGAGAUGCCAUUUUACUGUCAUAAUCACGUCAUCAAUGAAUCGAAAAUCAGUCCCUUCCAUUAAAUCAAGAAAUUAUUAAUUCAAAUGAAUGGAUCACAUUGUAUAUAUAUGGGAUAAAUAUAAUUAUGAACAAAAGCGUCUAAUCAAUCACAAAAAGCAAGCGACUGCAUCAAAUUUAGGGAUCCGACCCGACCCGACCCGAUCUGUAAAUUCCGGUUUCAAUCGGAUUAAGAUGAAACCUCUAACCCGAUAUAGUUGGAUUUUGGCCAACUCGAUCGGAUCAGAUCGGAUCGGAUUAAACUUAGUCCAAUCCGAAAAAUUCAAAAAAUCAAAACUACAAUAAGUAUAAAUCUAAAUUUUCAAUUCAAUUUGAUCUAAUCUGAAUAUAUUCGAAUCGGAUCAAAUACUAUGCUCUGCUUAAACUUGGAUUAUAUUUUUUUCAAUUUGAUUAACCUAAAAUUCGAUUGGAUAGAUCCAAAACUGAAUUUAUCUACCCCUCAGUCAUCAAUCAAUUACAAAACCUAAAAUCCGAUUGGAUAGAUCCGAAACUGAAUUUAUCCACCCUUAAGUCAUCAAUCAAUUACAAAGGCGACUGAUGUUUAUACAAUGGACAAUUAUUAAGUUACAGCUCUUGUAAUUUACAACUUAUACAAAAAUAUGUGAAAAAUUGUGAUAGGCAGUACAGUGUCAUGAUUUUAUACAAAAAUAUGUAAACAAUUGUGAUAGACGGUAGAACCUCAUGAUUUUAUAAAAAAUACGUAAAAAGUUGGGAUAAGUAAUGGAGCCCGCAUAAUUUUUUAUCAGCUGCAAGUUGCAAGUUACAGCAACUGUAACUUAGCGACCCCGACUUCAAUGUAAAAUGAGAAAGUACUCCUCCGCAUAGUACCUGAUGCUCAAAAGUCAAAUCACACGAAAUGCAAAUAGACUUAUCAGAGCAUAAAACCUUAUAUUACUUUUUGAAAAACGAUUUGAAACAAGGGCAAAAUUACAGUGUAACCGUACUUAGUCAUUGAAUUCAGCUCACAAUUAUCAUUAUAGUUAGAUCUAAUAACUAGAUCCAACUGUAUCCACAGUUAUAUUGUAGUUAGAUCUGAUAACUAAAUCCAGAUCCAGCUGUCCCCACAAUUGUCAUUAUAGUUAGAUCUAAUAAUUAGAUUCGGCUGAUUCAGCUGUGAUGUAGUACCCUGUAGUGCCAUAACUGGACAAAGAAACAAACUGAUAUAUUUUCUUUUUUGAAACAAACUGAUACUAAUCCAAGAGUUUCAGAUGAUCGGUUUUUUUUUUUUUUUCUAUAGUCACAUCAAUAAUUAAGUACUUUCAGUCAUUUUCGAAGGAUUAAAACGAAAACUCUAAAAAAAUUCUGAGAAUGAAGAAUCCGAAAAUAGAUUCAGAAAUAGUAACACAAGUAGAGGUCAGAUUGUUUUUUGGAAAAGAUUAAUUGCAGAUCUGAUGAACUCAAGUCUAGAUCUAGCAAAAUCACGGCAGCCAAACACUAGAUCUAAGACUAACAGUCACUCACCAGUCGAUCAGAAAGUGAAAUCAAGUUCAAAAUUCUUUUUUUUUAAUAGAUCCAAAAGCUAAUAUACAUAUAUAUAUGGCAAAAUAUAUAUACCGUACCCGAGAAGGACGAGCAGAGAAAUUAAGCUUUUUUCGAGAGAACGAGAAAGAAGAGAGACGAGACUGUUAGAAAUUGCUGUCAGUUUAAUUUUUAUUUAUAGCCAAAAACCUAACCUUGUUUAGUGGUUACUGGUUACCGUCUUCGGCGGUGUUGAUCUGAGAUUUAUCAUUUUAAUUUCUUUCUCUUACUUAUUUAUUUAAUUUGGGUCCAACUACGGUGAAACUGUAGUACCGUGCUACAGUUAUUUUCAACCGUUUGAUUCACUUGGAUGGUGGGAUCCAAUAAAAUCCAAUAACUGGGUGCAACCGUAGCACGGUGCCGCAGUUGCACCACAGUUUUUCCCAUUUAUUUAUUAUGCUUUCAGUGCAGUUGGCAAAAACAUGGAGCUUACGCGCGCUUUUCUGAUGUGGCGCGUGAAUUGGAAAUGUGGUAGAUCUUUGUGGAUCCGCCGGUGCAGUGAAGAGUGAAGGAAAAAAGAGAAAAGUUAUCAUGCCAGAUCAUUUGAAGAGAGCCGCAAUUAGUAAUUACACCACAAUAUAUUUCUGAUUAUUUGCUUACUUUGAUGAUGUUUUUACUGAUUAGUAAUUGGAAUAUGUUAGAAUCUAAAUAUAGUAGAAUCAUAAUAGAGUUGAAUCAAAAUAGACUAUAAUUAGAAUGGAUAAUGGGAAUUAGAAGAAUUAUUUGCUUUAGUUGUGAGAAUCCAAAUUGGAAUGAACUAUAUUGUCGUUGAUAUGUUUACUUUAUCAUAGAAUAUGAAUGAAUUAUUACAAGUUACUAAACAGACCUUAAGUUGAUUAUUGUCAUUAUUUAUUUAUUUAUUAUUAUUAUUAUUAUUAUCAUCAUCAUCAUCAUCAAAAUUAUUAAUCUUAUUAUUAAUGUUAAUUAUAAUAAUUAAUAAUUAUAAUAGUAUUAUAAUAAUAAUAAUAAUAAAAGCAAUCAUAAAAUGAGAAUUUCAAGAUUUAAGUAGAGAUAAUAUAAUUAUUUUAGAAAAUGAGAAUUUCCAUGAGAAUGUGAACUCUAUUAAUCAUUCCCAAUUUGAAGUGGGGCCUGCCAUUUUGAUUCAAUCUCUCAUUUAAGCAAGUAAAUACGACAUUUAUUCUCAUUCCCUCAUUCCCACUCUCAGGUAGCGUUUGUUUUUUAACUUAAUGACUUAAAGUGACUUAACUUAAUUAAUUAAGUUAAUUAGAGGUGUUUAUUUUUAUAACUUAAUGAGACUUUUUAGAUAAUUUUGACUUAAUAAAAUGAGCCAAUUUUUUUUGGCUUUUUACUUAAUGGAGAAAUUUGAAUUUAGUCAAUUACUUACUAAUGUCAAAAAUAUCUAUGUUUUAUAAUUUAUUUUUCAUGUCUAUCCCAAAACUCACCCAUAGACAUUUACCCCACAUAAAAAUAUCCCUAUUUUUUCUUUCUUAUAUUAUAUACGAUAAAAUUUGAAAUUUAUGGUAUUUUAUAUAUUAAAAUUCUAAAAUAAUUAUGUAUUCACUUGAAUAUAGUUUUACUUAUAACUGUUAAAAUAUUGUGGUAUUUAAUAUAUUAUUUAUUUGACAUUAAAAUUUAAUAAGGAUACAAAUGUAAAAGUACAUAUUUUCAGUUUUUUCAGUUAAAAAAAAAGCAACUUAAUACUUAUUUUUCGAGAUUCAGACGAAAAAAUAAACAUAUUAUUCAUAUUCAGACAUUUAGAUAUAUUCAGAAUUCAAACUAAUUCAGGUCUAUUCAGAUUUUAGACAAAAAAAACAAACGCCACCUCAAUCAAUAAACACACCAUAAAUGUAGAGUUGUUACUAUUAGAAUACAUUAUAAUUCAUCACAAUUAUGAUAGGUAUAUACGUGUGUAAUAAUUUAUAUAAGAUGCUAAAUUUUGAAAAUAAUAAAAAAUCAUUUAUACAUAUUUAAAAAAAUCAUUAAUACAUUAAAAUGUGCAUCACAUAUACAUUUACAUAAUAGCAAUGACCAUAGUAUAAAAAAAACUCCUAAAAGAGAACGACUUCGUUAUUUAUGUUAUUUUAUAUAUUUUUAAUUGAUUAUUAAAAGGAUCAAUUGUUAAUUAUUAUUCUCCAAACAUAAUCACCGUUAAACAUUUAUUCAAUUUAACAAUAGGUAGAUGUUAAAUAAUAUUGGAAUAUUUAAUGAACAAUAUAAUCACUAUUGCAGUUGUUUUUUUUUUUUAGUAAUGGAUUAUUCGAAACUCAAAUUCAUUUUUUAGCCCCCUUACCUCUCUUAAAAUUCAAAUUUAAGUGACUAAACAAAUAAAACUGCUUAAAAUCUAUACGACUACAUCUUUGGGGACCAAUUAAUAUGGAUGUUUAAAUCUUGAUUUAUUAUUAAAUCUUUGAGUUUCAACCACUAAUAACAUCAUCAUCGAUUAAUGACAAAUAAAAUAAUACAUCAUCAAAACCAUUAAACACGUCCAUCAAUAUCAAAAACAAGUAAAAAGUUUAGCAUGUAUUUCAAAUAUACUUUUCAUCCCAAAAGUUGUAGAGAAAGUCUCGAUAUCAAUGUCACUAUGAGACGUAAUUUUAUAUUUAAAGUCAGCGCAACUUAAAAAUUACUAUGAAUGAAUAAUACACCAUAAAAAAAUUAUUUAUAAGUAUUUUCAUCAUGUAUUUUUAUUUAACAAUGGUGACAUUUAUUUUUUAACUUAAUGACUUAAAGUGGCUUAACUUAAUUAAUUAAGUUAAUUUUAGGUGUUUGUUUUUAUAACUUAAUAGGACAUUUUAGAUAAUUUUGACUUAAUAAAAUAGGCCAAUUUUUUUUAACUUUUUACUUAAUAGAGAAAUUUGAAUUAAGUCAGUUACUUUCUAAUGUAAAAAAAUAUUCCUACUUUAUAAUUUAUUUUUCAUGCAUAUUCAAAAACUCACCCAUAGAUAUUUACCCCACAUAAUCUCAUCUUUAUUUUCUUCCAGCCGUCAUGGAAUCCCUCCUCACUUUGCUUCUCUCCUCUAGUUCUUGAAUCUCCCUUUAAUUUCUCGCUAGGCAAAGCACUUGAAUUGGGCUUUUUUUUUUUCCUUUUCAAUUACGUUUUCCAACAUUCACUUAUAUAAUAAUCAACUAGUUGCUACUCUUUUUAGUGAUAAAAUUUGAAAUAUGGUAUUUUAUAUAUUAAAUUUUCAAAAUUAUGUAUUCACUUAAAUGUAGUUUUACUUAUAAAUAUUAAAAUAUUAUGUUAUUUAAUAUAUUAUUUAUUUGACAUUCAAAUUUAAUAAGGAUAUAAAUGUAAAAGUACAUAUUUUUAAUUUUUUAAGUUGAAAAAAUAACUUAAUAUUUAUUUUCAGAUAUUCAAAUAAAAAAUAUAUUAUUUAAAUUCAAAAAUUUAAAUCUAUUCAAAAUUUAAAGUAAUUCAGGUCUAUGCAUAUUUCAAUCAUAAAAACAAAUGCCACAUGAGUCAUUCAAUUUCUAAUUAAGAGGAUAAAAAAUAGAUUUGGACUAUCCUAAGACAAAAACAAAAAAAAAAACAAAAAUAAGAUUUCCUAAUAAGUGUACUAACGUGGUCACGCGCCUUGAGAAACGCUUGGACCUAACACACUAUUUUAAUCCGAUAUGCAAAAAAAGAAAAAAAAAAAAAAGGAAAAAUUAUGAGAUGUAUAAGUUUCUAGAGACGUGUUAAAUUUUGAUGAAACAAUGAAGAAAGUCGGUGGCCGAAGUUGGUAUGGGGCAAUGCGAAUGGUGGUUGGCCCACGUUGCCCUGUAAUUGGAGUUGUUAUAAUUUUUCUUAUAAUUAAUAGGACUUGACACAGACUGCAGCAUCAGCCGUUGGAUGUGGAGGGAGAAACUAAACAAUAGAAAACCGUAUGGUGGGAUGACGGUAGAUGUUUGUUACAGAAACUGUACCAUAGACAGGUCCUAAUUAAUAAGCUCUACGUUUUGAAACAAUAAAUAAACUCCAGAUGACCAAAAUAUCAUUUCAUACUGCUACCUAGACAUCUUGGCGAGGGUGGGUAAUGUGGGGCCCGGAGCUUGUUUGAUCGUCAAUUAUUCUCUGGUUUGGUGAAACGAAUGGACGGACGAUGGUGAUGGCUUUUAGGAGAUUAGUAUUAUUAUUAUUAUUAUUAUUAUUACAUUGAGAUCGUAAAACAAAAAAUUCAAUUAAUAAUAUAAAAUAUUUAUUUAAUUUAUUAAUUAUUAUAUAUACACAAUAAAAAAAUUUAUAUACAUAUUUAUAAAUGUGUAAAUAAAUUUCAUUCAAUAUUAUAUCCAAUUAAUCAUUUAUAUUUUUCUGCUGUACCGUACAUCCGCCUUGGCCGUACAGCAGUAAAGCUGCUGAUGCUUUAUCGCGAAUUCAUGAGGAAAAUGUGAUUGAAGAACCCAAACCAACAACUCUUUGUUUGUCGUUAGACAUUUACCCCACAUAAAAAUAUCCCUAUUUUUUCUUUCUUAUAUUAUAUACGAUAAAAUUUGAAAUUUAUGGUAUUUUAUAUAUUAAAAUUCUAAAAUAAUUAUGUAUUCACUUGAAUAUAGUUUUACUUAUAACUGUUAAAAUAUUGUGGUAUUUAAUAUAUUAUUUAUUUGACAUUAAAAUUUAAUAAGGAUACAAAUGUAAAAGUACAUAUUUUCAGUUUUUUCAGUUAAAAAAAAAGCAACUUAAUACUUAUUUUUCGAGAUUCAGACGAAAAAAUAAACAUAUUAUUCAUAUUCAGACAUUUAGAUAUAUUCAGAAUUCAAACUAAUUCAGGUCUAUUCAGAUUUUAGACAAAAAAAACAAACGCCACCUCAAUCAAUAAACACACCAUAAAUGUAGAGUUGUUACUAUUAGAAUACAUUAUAAUUCAUCACAAUUAUGAUAGGUAUAUACGUGUGUAAUAAUUUAUAUAAGAUGCUAAAUUUUGAAAAUAAUAAAAAAUCAUUUAUACAUAUUUAAAAAAAUCAUUAAUACAUUAAAAUGUGCAUCACAUAUACAUUUACAUAAUAGCAAUGACCAUAGUAUAAAAAAAACUCCUAAAAGAGAACGACUUCGUUAUUUAUGUUAUUUUAUAUAUUUUUAAUUGAUUAUUAAAAGGAUCAAUUGUUAAUUAUUAUUCUCCAAACAUAAUCACCGUUAAACAUUUAUUCAAUUUAACAAUAGGUAGAUGUUAAAUAAUAUUGGAAUAUUUAAUGAACAAUAUAAUCACUAUUGCAGUUGUUUUUUUUUUUUAGUAAUGGAUUAUUCGAAACUCAAAUUCAUUUUUUAGCCCCCUUACCUCUCUUAAAAUUCAAAUUUAAGUGACUAAACAAAUAAAACUGCUUAAAAUCUAUACGACUACAUCUUUGGGGACCAAUUAAUAUGGAUGUUUAAAUCUUGAUUUAUUAUUAAAUCUUUGAGUUUCAACCACUAAUAACAUCAUCAUCGAUUAAUGACAAAUAAAAUAAUACAUCAUCAAAACCAUUAAACACGUCCAUCAAUAUCAAAAACAAGUAAAAAGUUUAGCAUGUAUUUCAAAUAUACUUUUCAUCCCAAAAGUUGUAGAGAAAGUCUCGAUAUCAAUGUCACUAUGAGACGUAAUUUUAUAUUUAAAGUCAGCGCAACUUAAAAAUUACUAUGAAUGAAUAAUACACCAUAAAAAAAUUAUUUAUAAGUAUUUUCAUCAUGUAUUUUUAUUUAACAAUGGUGACAUUUAUUUUUUAACUUAAUGACUUAAAGUGGCUUAACUUAAUUAAUUAAGUUAAUUUUAGGUGUUUGUUUUUAUAACUUAAUAGGACAUUUUAGAUAAUUUUGACUUAAUAAAAUAGGCCAAUUUUUUUUAACUUUUUACUUAAUAGAGAAAUUUGAAUUAAGUCAGUUACUUUCUAAUGUAAAAAAAUAUUCCUACUUUAUAAUUUAUUUUUCAUGCAUAUUCAAAAACUCACCCAUAGAUAUUUACCCCACAUAAUCUCAUCUUUAUUUUCUUCCAGCCGUCAUGGAAUCCCUCCUCACUUUGCUUCUCUCCUCUAGUUCUUGAAUCUCCCUUUAAUUUCUCGCUAGGCAAAGCACUUGAAUUGGGCUUUUUUUUUUUUCCUUUUCAAUUACGUUUUCCAACAUUCACUUAUAUAAUAAUCAACUAGUUGCUACUCUUUUUAGUGAUAAAAUUUGAAAUAUGGUAUUUUAUAUAUUAAAUUUUCAAAAUUAUGUAUUCACUUAAAUGUAGUUUUACUUAUAAAUAUUAAAAUAUUAUGUUAUUUAAUAUAUUAUUUAUUUGACAUUCAAAUUUAAUAAGGAUAUAAAUGUAAAAGUACAUAUUUUUAAUUUUUUAAGUUGAAAAAAUAACUUAAUAUUUAUUUUCAGAUAUUCAAAUAAAAAAUAUAUUAUUUAAAUUCAAAAAUUUAAAUCUAUUCAAAAUUUAAAGUAAUUCAGGUCUAUGCAUAUUUCAAUCAUAAAAACAAAUGCCACAUGAGUCAUUCAAUUUCUAAUUAAGAGGAUAAAAAAUAGAUUUGGACUAUCCUAAGACAAAAACAAAAAAAAAAACAAAAAUAAGAUUUCCUAAUAAGUGUACUAACGUGGUCACGCGCCUUGAGAAACGCUUGGACCUAACACACUAUUUUAAUCCGAUAUGCAAAAAAAGAAAAAAAAAAAAAAGGAAAAAUUAUGAGAUGUAUAAGUUUCUAGAGACGUGUUAAAUUUUGAUGAAACAAUGAAGAAAGUCGGUGGCCGAAGUUGGUAUGGGGCAAUGCGAAUGGUGGUUGGCCCACGUUGCCCUGUAAUUGGAGUUGUUAUAAUUUUUCUUAUAAUUAAUAGGACUUGACACAGACUGCAGCAUCAGCCGUUGGAUGUGGAGGGAGAAACUAAACAAUAGAAAACCGUAUGGUGGGAUGACGGUAGAUGUUUGUUACAGAAACUGUACCAUAGACAGGUCCUAAUUAAUAAGCUCUACGUUUUGAAACAAUAAAUAAACUCCAGAUGACCAAAAUAUCAUUUCAUACUGCUACCUAGACAUCUUGGCGAGGGUGGGUAAUGUGGGGCCCGGAGCUUGUUUGAUCGUCAAUUAUUCUCUGGUUUGGUGAAACGAAUGGACGGACGAUGGUGAUGGCUUUUAGGAGAUUAGUAUUAUUAUUAUUAUUAUUAUUAUUACAUUGAGAUCGUAAAACAAAAAAUUCAAUUAAUAAUAUAAAAUAUUUAUUUAAUUUAUUAAUUAUUAUAUAUACACAAUAAAAAAAUUUAUAUACAUAUUUAUAAAUGUGUAAAUAAAUUUCAUUCAAUAUUAUAUCCAAUUAAUCAUUUAUAUUUUUACAGCGGUUUAAUAAUAAUAUUUACUAAAUACAUAUGAUUAUUUUUAAAAUUCACAGUAUUUUUAAAAAUAAAUUUUAUAAAAUUUUUAACUAAUUUUCUUUACAACUAACUAUUGAACGGUUUAACUAAUAGUAAUUAUUUUUAAAAUUAUAGUAUUAUCAAAUUAGUCCUAUGUCAAAUUUGUUAUUGCUGUUUUUUUUUUAAUUAAAAAAUUACAUAGUGCAUACGUGCAUAAUAUGCCCAACUCAAAAAUUCACACAAAAUAUACUAUUUAACUUUAAGGCUUUAAUUGAAAAAAAAAAUUAAGAUUAAGAUGAAUAAAUACUAGAACAUAACAAAUAGAUAAACUCUCCCAUUCUUUAAAAAGAUUAAUUUUAUUUUAAACUUACACUUCGAAUUCAAAGUAGACAUUGAUUGAUAAAAUUAUACAAACGGAUCAAUAUUCCUACAUUUUCUUUUUAAUUUCAAAACCAACAGAUAUUGUUUGUUCAUUAUAUGACCUCCAAACAAAUAAUUUCAUUAAUAAAAUAAUAAUGAAAAGUGUCGUGAUGGGUAUAGAGUAAUUAGGUGGCUAAGUUUCUACUUUUCAUUCUAACUCUUGAGGUUGGUAGGCGCGUGGGUGGUCCACAAAACCCGUGGACGGUAGCAUUCAAACAAAGACUGGAGGCACCAGAAAAAUGUCCAAAAAGUGUGAAACCGUGACGUGUUCAACAUGUUAAUAAAUUUAGGCAAAUGUUAAAGUUACGGAGCUGGCUACGUUACAGAAACUGUACGUAACAGCCAUGCAUUUUUUAUUCGUUGGAUCUAGAGACUGAAAUUGGAUGGUUGGGAUUAAAGGCCAGAAUAGAAAUUAAUCACGGGCAACCGUUUUUAACAUUUAGAAGGGUUUAUUUUCAUGCACACCCAAAUAUUUUGACAAAUAUCAAUAUGCACCCAGUAACUUUUUAUGUAAAACCACAUAACCGACCCGUUAACUUUUCUACUAUUGAAUUAAAAAACUAUCAUGCCUCAAUUGAAUUAAAUUGAUCAGGUAAAAUAUCUUUUAUAACUUGUCAAUUUUUACAGUGAAAUAUACGAGUAUUUAGUAAAAUCAAAUUUAUUUUUUAUUCAGUAAUCAAAUUUUUUUAUUUAGUGAAAUCAAAAUUAUUUUUCUUUAGUUGUAAGAUUUUUUUAACAAAAAAAUUCUAAAAUCAGAUUUAACUCAUUUACUAUUUUAAAAAAUGAACUUUUUACUAACCAAACUAGAGUUUAUCUUUAGUCAACAUAUUUUUUUCUCUAAAAUAACCUUUGAUAGAAUUACUUAUAUAAACAUGUCAGUAUCAAAAUUACUUCAUAUUUUACCAUCCAUCAAUUUAAACUAGUGUGAAAUUUUUUUAGUUUGAUAUUGAAAAUAUGAUAGUUGAUGAGAGAAAUCUAAUUCAAAUUUACAGAUAGAAUAGUUUCUUAUAAUUGCGUACAUGGUAUAUCAAAAAUAUUUUUUUGUGAGUUUUUAAAAAAAUUGUGUCACAAGAUGAAAUUAUCUCUUGAUUUUUCAAUUCCUGGAAUUUAUGUAAAACAAUAAACACAAGUAAAUCUUUUGGUUUGUGACUUCUUGAAGGAAUGUUUGGGAACGCACAAGUUCCUCUCUCCUUCAAAAAGAAUGAUAAGUGCAAAUACCAACCUAGAAAAUUGAUUUAUAAUUCAAAGAAGAUUUGAUUGAAGAUGAUUAAUUGAAAUUUAUCUUUGCAUGAUGUCAAACAUUUUUCAAAAUGACUAAGUCAAGUCUCUUUGUUAAUUCAAAUCAAGAAAAAUUAGAAAAAUAUUAAUGCAUAGAAAUUCUACUAAGAGUUAUUUAUGAAAUUCUCAAACGAAUAGAAAUUAAAUUAACAUUUUUAAAUUUUAGUUAUGGGUUUAUUUUAAAAAUGGGUUUAGAAAGAAAUUUGAGGGGUUUAAAGAACCCCGCCCUUUCUUUAAUUAUUCGGUGAAUUUGAAAUAUAUUAAUAAGGUAUAAGAAUAUGUUAUUCUAAUCUUCUUAUGCAAAAUCUAUGCAAUUAAAAAAAAAUUCACCAAACGGUAUUUGUCUUUUUAUUGACAUUUAAUAAUAUUGAUGGCAAAUAUAUACAAUUAUCAAUCAAUUGUUAUCAACUAUUCAAGAUAACUGAAAAACUAAUUGCGUGAAGUUGGAGUAAUGAUUGUUUGAAUUGCCAAGAGUUUUUUUUUAAUAGAAACUAUUGCAAUUCAUAUCAUUAAAAAACUUAAAGACUACAAGUCGAAUAAAAAAUCUUUCCUUAUAAAAGAAUUUGACCAACUCAAAGUACAGUGUUAAAUCCUUGAGAUACAAUGAACCUAAAAAUCCUACUUUGACACACCACAAAUAAUGAAUCUAACUUAACAAUCAAUGGAGAUAAAUCAAUUUUACUAGCAAAAUAUAAGCCAAAACACAAGGCAACGUCUUCACCAAAAUCAAUAUCAUUCAAAUAAUUCCCCUUGUGAACGCCUGAAGCUAUCAUAAAAACAACAAAAAAUAAAAAAAUAAAAACAAGUAGACAAGCAAAAAAAUUCCCCAAUAACAAGUUACCCUACAAAACUUUUCCUUGUAGAACAUACACAGAAACCGCAGCUAUAGGGCUAUCGAAAGUAGGGAUGGCAAUGGGGAGGGGAGGGGAGGGGACCAAUCUCCCCAUACCCAUCCCCGAUAUUUUGCGUAUGUCCCCGUCCCCGUCAGAAUUGCUUGAGAGAAUCUCCAUCCCCUCCCCGAAUAAUAACAGGGGAUCCCCGAGGGUCCCCGGUCUUUGGAAAAGCUAGGAAAGAAAAGGGACGUGAAAAACAAAGGGGGUAGAUUUUUUGAAGGGGAAAGAAAAAGAAACCCUAGAUCUAAAUUUUUCUCUUCUCUCUAUGAAGAACUAAACCUAUUAUUCUGGUUGAAGAUUAAUAAAGCUUUGGUUCAUCAUUACUGUGAGAUCUUUCUUAUGCUUUAAUUGUUUUAUUGCUUUUUGGGUAUUUGUUUAUUCUCUAAAUUAUUGUCAUGAUUAUAUUUGUUAAUUAGAUAAUUGGCCACUAUUUAAUUAUCAACUUAAUCUAUUGUCAAUUAAAAGAUUCAUCGUAUGAAGAUUUUAAUAUUUGUGACAAAUAGCAUAGCAGUGCGUUGUGUUAUGAGAAUAAACAAUCUAAUUUAAAUGAACCAUCGUAUGCGUUUGUUGAUUAGGAUUUGGGUCUCUCUGAUUUUUCAGGUUGUCAAUUAAUUAAAUCCUAUGAUUGUAUCUAGGGUUAUCUAUUAAUUAGGGAAAUAACCAAUGGUCGUACCUUAGUUAUCGACUAGUUAAAGAGAGAUUGGCUAUUAAAGGGUCUCAGUAGCUAGGGAUGGCAAAAAUCCCCACGGGGACGGGCACCCUCGGGGAUUUUCCCCAUUCGGGGAGGGUACGGGGAUAAUUUUAUACCCAAUUUUUUUUUCGGGGAGGGGACGGGGAAAAUUUUUUACCCAAUUUUUUAUUCGGGGAGGGGACGGGGAUGAGGUGGAAUCCCCAUCCCCUACCCAUUUCCCCAUUUUAAUUUUUAUUUUUUAUUUUUAAAAUUACUAAUAAAUAUAUAACAAAAUUAUAAAUAUUGGCAAGAUAUGAGUGGAAUUUUGGGUGUGACAUGUAUAUUUGAUCCAAGGUAUAAAAAGAAGUUCAUUGAAUAAUACUUUUCUUUUUAUUUUUAAAAUUACUAAUAAAUAAAUAACAAAAUUAUAAAUAUUGUUAAAAAUAAUAAAUAUCAAAAUAGUUGUAUGUUGGGAAAGUGGUCACCCCUUACCAGGAAUUAGUGGAAGAGUAUCAAUUGAAGUUUUCACCAAUUGUUUAUUGCUUUGAUUAUACUGGUUGUAGUUCUUCUAUUAGAUCUACAGGGGAUUCUUAUAAGAAAGCAACCAAAUGGAUGACAUGUUUUGAUGAUUAUGUAAACAAUGGAGAUUGUGCAGUUGUUGCAGAUGAAUUAGAUUCAUAUUUGGAUGAAAAAGUUAUACCCCGGAUGGAAGAUUUUAAUAUUUUGAGUUGGUGGAAGACAAAUGCUAAUAGGUAUCCUACAUUAGCUCGAAUUGCUACAGGACGAGCAGGAGGUAAAUAGUUUUAUUAAAAAUAUUAAUUAAGUAUCUACAUUUAUUUCAUUUAUUUUAUUGCCGAUGUAAAAAAUAUUUUUUUUUUCUUUUUAUUGUAGGAUUAUGAAGAUUGAGACAUUGAUAAAGAUAAUUAUUUUAAUAAUUUAUAUUUUGAAUGUGACUUUGUAAUGGAUCAAUAUUAAUGUAAGAUAUAUUUUAAACUUUAUUUUUAUCUGAAUUUUUUAUUUUAAUAUGAUUAAUUUAAAAUCAAAAAUAAAAAAAUGUAUUAGACUAUUAAUUAUUCGGAGACCGGGGACCCUCGGGGAUCCCCUGUUAUUAUUCGGGGAGGGGAUGGGGAUUCUCUCAAGCAAUUCUAACGGGGACGGGGAGGGGACGGGGACAUACGCAAAAUAUCGGGGAUGGGUAUGGGGAGAUUAGUCCCCUCCCCUCUCCUCCCCAUUGCCAUCCCUAGAUUUUUGCCAUCCCUAUCGAAACCUCUACCCACCACUAUUAGAGUUAAAAAAAUCUCUGAUAUGAGUGUAUUCUUCUAAUUUGAACUCUAACGUGAUUUUUUGAGAGAUUCAUUGGAAAAAAACCUUAAGGAGUUAAAGAAGAAAUUUAAAAAAAAAAUCAUAAAAAGAGGAAUGAAAAGAAAAAGAUGCUUUACCAAGAGUUGAUUGACAGUAAUUGGUAAAUUUGAGCAUGCAAUAAAAUUUACCCAUAUAUUCAUAUGACAUAAAAUAUAAUUUUAUUCAUUAAUUACACUACUAAUUUGUCUAAAUUUUAGUUUUUAAAAAAAUAAAUUUCUAUAUAUUUACAUAAAUCUUAGUUUUUAUAAAAAUAAAUUGAAAAAUAAAUUUAUGUUUUUAUAAAAAUAAAUUUAUGUUUAUUUUUUUACAUUGACCUGAAGAAAAGACUAGUACUACUAAGCUGCUGUACGGCCAAGGCGGAUGUACGGUACAGCAGCAAUUUGACUGUUUGGGGGUGGGGUUGAUGGCUUACAUCAAAGUUAGUGUGUGCUAAGGAUUAACAAUAAUAAUGGGGUAAAUAUGAAAUUAAUCCUUGCCCAAGCAUUAGAAGUUCGUCGGUUUUCUUUUAACCGGAUAAUUACCGGUGAAUAUGUCACGCGUUCCUACACGUGGCAGCAUCUAAUUUAUUCGCUUGUCAUUUCAGUUUCUGUUAGUUACAGUUUCUGUAACGUAGCUAGCUCCGUCAGGUACAGGCAUGUUGUAACUUACGUUUCUCGUAAAAAUCAUAUAAGUUCUAUUUCUACCGCUAGGGUGAGCAUGGGUUGAUUUGGAUUAAAUUUUAAGUUAAUUUAAAUUAAAUUAUAAAAAUUUGGGUGUAAUCUAAAUUAAUUUAAAUAUUUUUAACAUAACUCAUGGGUUGGUUAAAUCAAACUAUAAAAAUUUGGUCCAACUCAAAUUAACUCAAAUAUUUUCAACACAACCCAAAGCAACUCAGUUGGAUUUUAUUAAAAUUAUAAUAAUUAUUAAUUGUUUUUAAACCAACCAUUUUGAGUUUGGUUUGGAUUUUAUUAUCAAAAUAUAUUUUUUAUUUUGAGAAAUUUAAUUUUAUCAAAAUUAUAAUAAUUAUUAAUUGUUAUUACUUAUUAAAUUGAUAAUAACAUAUAAAAAUUAUAAUUCAUAAAAAUUAUAAAUAACAAAUUUUACAAUAACUUAAUCCUUAAAUUAAAGAAUACUAGAAAAUUAAAAUAAAGUUUAAUCACAAAAAUCAUUAUUUAUCAAUAAAUAAGAAAAUUCUAAUAAAAAACUUCUACAAGCACGAUAUCGACAAGUAAAUUCAAAGAAAGAAAGAAAGAAAGAAAAGACUAGUACUACUAAGUAUUAACCCUAUUACAACACAAACUCUAACAAUGUCCAUACAAAUAAAAAAAAAUAAGACAUUCUAACUCAAGUGUCAAAGCAAUCCAUCAUAAUCAUUUCCAUCCGUAGUACUUUAAUCGAGAGAUUCCACGAUUAACUGACAAAAUGUAUGACAAUGAUAAUUUACAUUGAUUAUGACAUAAUAGAGAUGGAUUUGUCAAAGCCAAAUCAUUUGCUGGAAAGGAAUUUAGUUGAAGUAGGAACCAAAAUUCAACUUAGAUGGAUCUAUAAAAUUGGUCAUUCAAUACAUAAGUACUUUAUCAACAGAUUCAACACAUUAUAAAUUUAUGGAUUCAACUAAGUUACAACCAGCUGCAACUUAUUCCUCUCACAUAAACAAUAAUACAGCGGUAGGCUAUAUUAUUUACAAAAAGUACUUAUGUAUUGAAUGACCAAUUUUAUUACCUGCAAAAUUAAUUAAUCUUUCACUCUAUCAUCUAACUAAUGGAAGGCAAUCUUAUUUUAGGUUGUAAUGAUUAGAAACUAGCAGGAAGUGGGGGCGAUGCUCCAUAUUAAUUUGGAUAAAUCCCUUUCUAGUGAAGAAGUUAAAAUUAUAAAAUAGAGAUCAAGAUAGAAAUUUAAAGGCCCCGAUUGUUUUUUACAGACUUAAAAAUGAUAUUGAAAAAUUAAAAGCUAAUUUUAGUAUUUAAAAAUUACUUUAAGAAAAAUCACCCUAUCUUCCUGUAAAUUUUGAAAAGCAUGAAAAGAGCAGUUUUUCAAAAAUUGAUUUCGAAAAUUAGUUUCAUACUUAAUACAAUUCCAUAUAUCCUAACAUUUAUUAUAAAAAUUCAAAUUAUCCUUAUUAAAUUAGGAAAUAAAGUCAGUACAUUUAAAUAAGAGUGAUGAUAUAGACACAAACUCUUGUACCAACUGACGUAGCAUUAAUUUAUUAGUUGAAUGAAAAUAUAAAAUAAUAUAAAUAAAUCAUGUGGGCCAAGAAAUAUUUAAUUUAACCAAUUUUAUCAUGUCACAUUAUAAGCAACUUAUAAACUCAUUGGAUUCGACUCUUUACUAAAAUAAAAAUAAAUUAAUAUAUAUAUAUAUAUAUAUAUAUAUUUACAUACAUAAAAUGUGAUUAUAUACACAUAUUUAUAAUUGAAUAUGUACAUAAAUUCUGUAGAUUUAUGUCUAUCUAUACAUUUGCAUUCUUACCACAUUUUAAAAGUGUGAUUUACCAAAUACAUGGGACUUAUUUGAAAUUUAUAGCACUUUUAUAAAUAAAAUUUAUCAAACGUUAAACAGAUUCUCUAUUUUCGCGUAUAUAUCCUCAUGUAAAUUAUAAAAAUUCAAAAUUAUCUUUAUUCAAUUAGGAAAUUAAAUCAUUAUUUUUAAAGAGAUUCUUAUUAUUACUAAUUAGAUUCAAAUAACCAAAAAAAUACAAUCAAUAAAAUAAAAAUAUUUAUUUUAGUUAUCAUUUAUUAUAUACACAUAUUUAUAAAUGCAUGUGUAAAUAAAAUUUUAUAGAUUUAUGUCUAUUUAAGUUAUUUGCAUUCUUACAACAUUUAAAAAAUGAGAUUUACUAAACACAUGUGAUUGUUUUUAAAAAAGUUACAACACUUUUAAAAAUAAAAUUUAACAAAUGUUUAAUUGACUCUCUCCAAAGGUAAUUGUUUUUACAGUAUAGCUAAAGUAAUUUAUAAAUUUAUGAUAAGUAUUUGUGAAUAUUGGUCUAUGUAAAGAAGUAAAAACAACAUAUAUAUUAAGCAGCAUGAUAUUAAAACUCUUAGUAAAAUACAUAUACUAAUAAAAGAAAGACAACAAUGCAAUAAAUAAGCUUAUAAUAUAAAUUAUUAAAAUUGUAUAUUAAAAAAUUAUGCAUGAAAUUCUUUUUCUAUUUUGGUGAUAGAGAAUGCGAUAUAAUUGAAUUAUUUGAUUUAAUAAAAAAAAAAUAUGACUGUGAAGGAAAUUAACAAUUGAAUUGUGGAAUGUUAUUAAUUGUUAUUGUAUCAUUUUGCAACGUUCUAAUAAUAUGGACAAUGUUACAGUAUAUUGAUGGGCGGUAAUAUUUUCACCUCUUAAAUUGUGUAAAGUCAGCUCCAUUUAAAAAAAUUAUAUAUAAAAAGCCCAUUAGUUUUAAUAGUUUCAAAUUAAGAUUAAAUGCAAAUAAUUAACCAAUUAAAUCCUUAUUAAUAAGAUCAUUGAGCUUUAAUUAAACUAAUAAAAUGCAUUUGAUAAAUGAAAUUUACGAUAUUUAAUUACAUGAAAUUUAUUGACUACAUGAAUAAUAUAAUUGUUCAGCUGUUUAAACUUUUUCCCUAUUUAAAUUUUAAAAAACAAUGUGAAAUUUUGUAAAUAGUUCUUUGAAAUGGGGUGGAUUUACACCAUUUGUGCAGUGCAAAUAUCCUAAUUCUAACAUUUUUUUUAAAAAAAAAGACCAAAUCAUAACAUUUUUUGUAUACUAAGUUAAAGUAGUACUAACAUUAUAGCCCCCUAAUGAUUUCAAUUCAUUCAAUGAAUAUAUAAUUUAAGCAUGUUAUAAACUAAGUCUCUAAAUCGAAUUAAAAAAAGAAAAAAGAGCUUAAUUGCUGACAUAGUUGAAAAUAAAAUAAAAAAUUUUAUUAUUAGAUGAAAAAUUAUGAAACUUAAGGGGUAUAAGCGAGUCGGCAGCUGCUCACCAGGGCAUAUGUAAUAUUUGUUAAUACAUUUCAAAAUUUUAGGUUUUUUAAUAAUAUUUUCAAUACAUUUUCUAGAAGGUUUAGAAAAAAAAAAUGACUCAAUACUUUAAUCGAGCUAUGAAUAAACUCAUGUGUUAAAAAAUUUCAUAUUUACACCCAAUAAGAUUAAUUAAUGGGUGAUACAAAUUUAAGAUAGUUAAUAAUAAUAUAUAUCAUCUUAAGUUAACUUCAACUCAUUAACCUUGUAUAAGGUUUGAUGGGUCGUGCCGCAAAUUAUCACCUCUAAUCCUUUUUGCAACAGGCAUGAUGAAUGCUAACAAAAUGAAACUUCUAUAUAUUUAGUUGUUAUUCUUUUUAAUGAAAUAAUAAGGAGCUUUGCUGCAAAUUUCCAUCCAGCAUGGCAUGGACGCACGUGAAAUUUGCUAGUAUGGUCCUGGACAUGCGUGGCUGAGAUGCUUCUAAAGGCAAAGAAUUCCAAGUUCAUACCAAAUAUAACUUUCUGAUAUUUUUGUGGUAUCAAGUUUGUUUUUCACAAACUAAGGUGUCGGCGUAAAGUUGUUGUCCAUGCAAUGAAGUUUUAUACAUAAAUAUAUUAACCUAAAUUGUUACUAAAGUUCCAUAAUUAGCAGUUCCUGAGAGUUUUUACUAUAUAUUUUUUUGUUUUAAUUCAACAUAUGUUUAUUUAAUACGAUUUUAUUAAAUAAAUGUGCAUAUUUACCAUAUUUGUCUACGAUCAAUUAGUUGGAAAAAAAAAAGAAAAUUAAUAAAUUUAUUUAUUUGAUUGUUAAUGGUUUAGGCAUUUGAAUUCCCACAAAGUCAGGGUGUCAGCUCUGGACUUCUGGUGAUGUAUUUUUCUAAUAAAGAAAUAAAAUAUUGUUGUCAUUUUUUUAAUAUUCUAAUUUACCAAGCCUACCAACCAAUUAAUUUUUCUAAUUAGAUCAUUAAUUCAUUACACGUGCAUUCGCUGGCCCAGUGCUCCAAUCCCAUGCAUGCUGCACAACUCAAUGUGUUUUAAUAAGAAAAGGUUUGGUUAGCCUGUGCUGAUGCCAGAAGCCCCUUAAGGAGUUCAGGUAAACGUAAAUAUGUCCAGAUUUAGAUUUGAAUAUGUAAACGUAAAUAGGUCCAGAUUCAGAUUCGUUGCGCUAGAGAGGGGCACGCACGAUCGGGCUGCUGUCAGGUGGUACGUUGGCGUGGCAAUUCUCAACACGCGCUUCUCCUGGUGCAUACUUACGGCAAGUUGACACGUGACCCGUGUGGAUUGAGUGGACAGAGUCACGGGCACUGAUUUUUGUCAUCCAUAACGACUAACGUCGGAGACUUCGAGAAGAAAGAAAUUGUUGUCGUUUCUAAGGGGAAAAAAAUAUUUAAUUUGUUGAAGACAAAUUAACGUCGGAGAUUUUUUUUAUUUUUUAUUUUUAAUUUUGCAAUCUAAACCAGUCUAAUCAAAAUGUCAAUUUGACAAAAGUUGGACUGAUUUAGAUUAGUUCUAUUAGUUUGAUUGGAUUAAAUUGAAUUAGAUCUUGAACAUCCUAACACUUUUCAUGAAUGUUUUCCUUUUUUUUUGAAAAAAAUUAAUAAGGAGAAUUCCCAUGAAUGUUAAUUUUAUUGAUAAACUUGGCAAUUUUAAGAAAUGUUUUGACGCACGAAUAAUGCAAUUCAUCAACCCACAUAGAUAUGGAUAUAGGAAGCAGAGACCAGAUCGAUCUUGACAUAACGAAAACUUGUAUGUGUAUAUGUAUGUUACAGACCAGAUCGAUCUGUAGCAUAGACUUCUCCUAUAUGUAGGUUAUAUUCAAAUUACAAAAUGAACACAUGUUAAGGAUCUACAACUUCUUCUUUAAUCUAAUAAGCUCCCUCAACUUUAUUCCAAAACAAAAAAGAAUCAAAUUUUUGUUGGAAAUAUUUAUGAAUGAAGAAGCAAAAAGCGCUUGUAUCAAGGAUCUAAUUAAAGAACUGCCAGAGGCAUAGAUCUAUCAAAGCUCCCUCGCAUGACUCUUGGUCUCGGUGGCUUCUUCUUCUUCAUUCCGAAUUUUCCCUCCAUCUGAUCUCUUCCAACCUUUCCAUUUCCAAAUUGAAUUGAAACUUGCCUCAUAUUCGUUUGUUGAAUCCCAUCUUUUGUUGCACCACCAUGCAUCAAAAUCCUUGAAAUCCCAGCAUAAUGCAAGGACUCAGCUAUUUGCAAUGGGGUCACGUUCUUACUUGUCCUUGCCUCAACAUCAGCUCCCUUCUUCACAAGCAAUUCAGUCACAUCUGUGUGGCCAGAUUCCACCGCACAAUGCAAAGCUGUGUACCCAUCUUCAUCUUUAGCAUCAACAUCAAUCCCUUUAUCAAUCAGAAUCCUCACAACCUCAAUCUUUCCCUUAAACGAAGCCCUAUGCAAAGCAGUCCAUCCAUGUAGGUCUUUCCCAUUGAUCGCGGCGCCUGCUUCGAUCAACCUCUGCAUUGUCCUCACUUCCCCUUUCCUAGCGGCAAUACACAGGCUGUCACCAAGCUUCAACGCGUCAAAGAGACGGGAGUGACCGCACUCAGCAGCAACAUCAUAAGCGGUCUUUCCGCUCUUGUUUCUAAUAUAUUUAUUAGCACCCUUCUGCAAUAACAGCUUCACCAUUUGCUCAUAUCCCAAGCUUGCGGCGAUAUGCAAAGGCGUGUCACCGUCUCUAGCGUUGCGUAUAUCAGGCCUUGCUCCGUUUGCUAACAGAAGUCUCGCGCAAUCUCUUCUUCUGUCUUCAACCGCGAGAUGCAGAGCUGUGUUACCAUCUUUUGUUAAAGCAUUGACAUUAGCACCUUUGAUUAAGAGAAGCUUUAGUACUUCCAAAUGGCCGCCUCGUAAGGCCAAGUGUAUGGGCCCCCAUGUUGAUGUUCCUGAUCUUUCUGUGCUGGCUUUCCUCGCCAACAAGAGCUCAACAAUAAGUGCUUCCCCUGCAGCCGCCGCGGCUUCAAGUGGAGUACUGCAGCCACACCUGCCUUGAGACUCAACAUCCGGCCCAAACUCAAGCAAAAGUUGAACAAUAUCAGGCCUCCUUUGAGCUAUAGCAAUAUGAAGCAACGUUUGUCCCUGCGCAUCGGCAGAAUCAGCCGGGUUCCAAGCCGGGUCACUCCGCUCAAGAACCUCUCUUAAAUCAUCCAUUUCACCAUCCUUAACAAGCAGAACCAAAACAGGAGACCCAACGAACAUGAUCUUGAUUCCGCUGUCGAUGAACACUUGCUUCUUCCUCGUUGUGAACCAGUCACUGGGGACGGAAUCAAGCGUCGACGUUGCAUCUUUAAUUCCAGCUCCAGGAACAACAACGCUGUGCAAGAGGAAGGAAUCAUCACAGUGAGGGAAAGAAUCAGGAAGAACCGAUCCUGGAGGGAGAUGAUACGCAAUCUCUACGCUUAGUGUUGCGAGUGGUGAUAUGAUUCCUGAUUGCGGCUUCACAGUAUAACGAGCCUUGUUUGUAGGCUGAAUCCUGAAAGCAACAGGCAUCGUGUGCAUGACAUUGCGGAGAGUCAGCUCCCCGGAACAUUUCUGCCCUGGUUCAAUUCUGAUAGCUACAAGGUUCGACGGCUCCAAGCUUACAAGCCUAUCCAUUGAUUAAUUUUCUCUCCGUUUCCCAAGGACUGCUGAAAGGGGUUCUUUGAACUUUUUGAUUCAGGCUUAUUUUCUUCACUUUUGGUGGCAUGGGGAGGAAUUAGAGGAGUAACUGUAAGAGCUGCAAGUGUUGGUGUAAUCAACUGUAAUAUAAGGAGAAGAGAGGGCCGGCUCUAAUGGGAGACUGCCACGUGGUGGUGUUAAAAACAAUGAGACUUGUUCUGUUCGGCGUCCGGAGUGUAUAUACAGUUGUGUUAGUGGUGAAAGUUAAAGAAAUCCUGAAGUUAUUUUCGGAGUGGCUUCUGCAAAGUCACUUUCAGGAUUGUAUUGUAUCAUUAAAAAACAAAGCCAGUUUUUGUUGUUCUAGUAAAAGGCGAAUCAUUGGACAAACUCGUAAGAAUAUGUUGCCAAAUGUAUAAAAUAUGAAAUUCAAACAAUGAUUACAAUGUGAAAUUGGACAAUGGACAUGGCCUGUGUGAAUUGUUUUGUGGGCUUACUAAUUAAAUUAAUUCACUAAAAAUAAUGUCACUUUUGUGUCUGUGAAGAAGCCGAAAUGGCACAGUCAUUUACGUGGCCAACUACGGUGACUACUUCGUCAGUAGCUGCUCGAGCACUUGGUCAGCACAAGUUGCUUUCUUUCUUGGCGGGAUUAGUUUUUCUUCAUUGCUUUAAGUGGUGCAUUUCUGCAGUUUCAUUUUGCUUUGCUUAUGCCAUUGGAUUUGUGCCCCAUAAAUAAAUAUAUAAUUAAGCGGAAAAGUAUCAAAUUUUGAAAAAGCUUAGGUUUUGUGUGUGUGUGUGUGUGUGUGUGUGUGUGUGUUUUAAGCCGAAUUACUCGGCUAAAAAUUAAUCCGAUUAUUAUUGUUUUGGUGCUUAAGAUGUGACUCUAACCUAAAGCUCAUUUGAACUCUCUUGAUGCUCAUAUGGUAUUUUUUGUGUUGUGUCGUGCUGGCCCUUACACAUCUCGGCUCAUAUUUUUCAUGUUACUAAGUUCUAAUAUGUACAAAAGAAAUAGAGCAAUGUCCGGUGGUAGAUCCAAACACUCAAUUUGGGGUGCUUAUUUUUCAGUCUCAAAUUCGAUUAUUUUCUUUUAAAAUAUUAAAAUAAUAGUAAUAAAAUACUUAUUUUAAAUACUGAGCUCAUUACAACCACAUAUGUAAAAGUAUCAUUUAUAUUUUUUUUCUAAAUAAUCUUCACAAAAUAUUUUAAAAAAUAAAAUUAUGUGACUAUGGGGAUUUGAACCAAGUCUCUCAAACUACUAAAUAACACUUUUACCACUAAAUUACAAAUCUUUUAACAUAUUAAAAGUGCAUCCAAAUUAUUAUUAUUAUUUAAUUAUUUCAUAAGAGAUUUGGGGCACAUUUAAAAGAAAAAAAAUUAAUGGUGCAUAAAGGACUAAAGCCUCUCUUGAGUCCUUGACCUUAACUAGGUCCACCCAUGGUAAUGUCAGUGAUACCCAACUUGAAAAAUAUACAAGAAACUUGGAAAUUUAAAUUAAUGAAUAAAUAAAUAAAUAAAAGGAAACUUAGUGAUUGUAGCUGUUGUAUUGUAUUGUGGAUCAAAGAAUUACAAGUUCUUGGUUUCUCGGUAUUGGCUAAUUUUGAAGUUAAAUGAAGUUCGAAAAUAUUUACAAGCAAUAAAAUUAUCAACUGAAUGAGACAAGGAAAGAGUAUAAAGACCUUAGCAAAUUAGCAAUCCUUCUUUAAUUUAGUAACAGUGACGCUUAUAAAGUUAGAAGACGUAUCAAAUCUAAUUUAGAUUUUGCCCCAUAAAACUAACUUAACUUAUAGUGCGUCUUUGUUUAAUUAGUAAAUAUUCCACAAAAACUGAUCAGCACUUUAUAGGAAAUUCCAAACACGUUUAUAUUCACAAGGAAUAUGUCAAGGAGAAAUGAGAAUAAAAAAAUGUAAAAACUAAUAAAGCUUCAUUAAUUAGAAUUUAUAACCAUAUGUGCUCCUAUACUACUUUUAUUAUUAAGAAUUUGAAGUAGAAGGUAGUUGAUUAUCAUGAAAUUACAAAAUUGUAAACGGAUUUGUUCUUUUGGAAAAAGAAAAAAAAAAAAAAAGGAAGGAUAGUUGAUUACUUGAUUAGUGAGAAAUCAUACGUAUAAAGGACAAAUUGAAAAAUGGGACCUGAAUUGCAACAAAGCUUCAUUGGAAUUAACUGCCGAUAAAAUUAAAUUAGUAUCACCCUACCCUUUCAUCUUAAUAUAUUCGAAAUUUCACCGAUCAAAGUUUCUAGCUUCGAUUUUUACGAUCUCUCAUCCUAAUAACACCAAAAGCAUAUUCAUUCGUUUGUAAGAUUAUGUAACAAAAUAUAGUAAAUAGCCUAUAAUUUUUUUGUUUUACUACUAACCUGUUAUCAUUCUUUUCUAAUAAUACAUGUUAAAAUAUUCACAGAAAAAAUUUAUCCCUAUUACACCCAACCACCUUUUUUUGUGUUUUUUUUGUUCAAAUUUUAGCAUUAAAGGGACAAUAAUGUCCUAUGAAAUAUGCAGAAAGACAGUUAAUAAUAUUCAAAAAUGUAAGUGGAGGUAUCUUACGCCACACACACAAAUUACACGACUCUCAUUAAUGUGUUGUUGUUGUUAUGUGUGGCGUAAGUUACAGUUGAAUGUCAUAUUCAAAAAAGUAAGUGGAGGUAUCAAUCUCCCUAAAUAAAUAAUUUAUGGAAGGUUGUUAGCUGUUGUACUUUUAGUUAAUUUUAAAAUCACAAUAAUAUGGUUAAUGUUAAGUUACAUGCAUGUAACUUAGGAGGAUCCCAAUAAUAUACCAUAUUUUAUUAAUAUGUACAGUAUUUAUAAUAUUUAAAAAUUAAGGAAUUAAUGUACGCAUGUAAAAGCUGCAUUGGAGCCAGUUGGAAAUCUUACUGUCUUGAUAUAUGCAACGAUUGUAGCAGCUAAAAAGGCAUGAUAUUUACUUAAUAUUAUUUCAAACAAUAAUUAUUUAUUUAAAGCAAAUAAUAAUAAUGAGGGCAGAAGGACUAUUCUAGGAUCAAUAUGGUGACAGUAUAAAUAAAUAAUAUUAAUUAUUAAUGCAUUGAUGAGUAUUGUUAAAAUGACAUAAUAGGUUUGUUUCAUUGAAUUGAACCUUUUCUCUUAAAAUAGCUAUAAUUUGUUCUCUCUCUCUCUGUGUUUUUGUUUUUGUUUUUCACUUUAGUUUUACUUCUCUUAAAAAACCAAAAAAAAAAAAACAAAAUUAAUGGAAACUGAUGAUGGGAAGACGGACAAUUUUCUAUAUUGUUAAAUAGAAAUGGGCACAAAUGUGAGUUUUUUGGGGCAAAAAAAUAUAGUCAAUGUACGUAGCGUUUGUCUAUUUGAAAACCCGUCAAUAUAAAAACAGGACGUAAAGCUUUCAGACAAAGUACUCUUAUGGCCGUACUUUCCAUAAACCAAAUCAAAAGAAGGAAAAUAUUUGUGUCUGGCUUCGAUGCGACUGUUAACAUUCACAAAUAAACACCUUUGCAUGGUCAGAAAAAUUAACAAGAAAUUAGAAGGCGAUGUUGCGUUCUACUUAGUUCUCUAGGAUUUGUGUCAUUUGUUUAUGCUACGGUUCGUUCCCAUUUGCAUUGCGUGGAAUAAUUGGCCGAAUAUUAUUAAUCUCAAUCUUAAUCUCUCAACUCUUGUCCCUUUAAUUUUUGUUUGUAUCUUUUUCUUUUUUUUUUUAAAUAUCACAUACAAUGCUUUUAAUAAAUAACUUCAUAGAAAUAUUUAAUAAAAUCCAACAUAUAUAAGUUCAAGAAACUCAAAAAAUAAAAGAAAAUAAACUCACGUUGUCACUGGAGAGACUCAAACAUGCUACCUUAAAAUUAAGUAGAGGGUGCAACUACUUGCACUUUAAAAAAAGAAAAGAAAAAAAAAGGGGCUUUGAACGCUCGUGAUAAUUUGCAAGUUAUGGAGGAUAAUCAUUGUACAAUGGGGAGAACUCUUAUGGAACAAUAUUCAAACUGAUAUUGAAAGCAUAUAAGAAUUUGGCUUGGGUGUUUUGGUGCCAUGAAUGAGUGCAGAAACAAAGAGGAAGCUUUGUCCCUUUAAUUUGAUCUGCUGUAUUAUAAUUAUUGAGAUUAAUCAAAUAAAUAACCGAAACAUGGUUACAGUUUUAUAGUGUAUUGCAAGUCUUUGGAGAUACUAUGUACCUCAAAAAAAAAUAUCGUAUAAAAGAGUGUUUUGUUUCACAGGGGUUCAAUGAGAUUUGAGAUGGCUGUAAUGAAAGUGAUGUAAAUUUUUUGGACUCUAAUGAGGUGUUUUUAGAUGGAGGGGGAUUUACAAGUAUUUUAUAGGGGUGAUAAAUGACUGUAUACCCACCAAAAAGGCCCAUUGUUCGAGUCCAUGAGCAUUACAGUUUUUUUUUUUUUUUUUUUUGAAAUUCAGAACAUGCAGUUUGUUUGAUUCAACUUCCGAAUUACAAAAUUAGAAUAAGAAAAAAAAAUGUGGAUGUUUUUUCUUUAAUUUACAUAAUAAUACAUGGUGUGGACGAUGUCUAUUGAGGGAUAAAAGAGGAAUGGGGGCACUGUGAAGUUUGUGUUUUUGUUUUUUUUAAAUUAUCAUAUUCAUACUGUCUAUAAAAAUAUGCAAGUUAAAAAAUUACUCAUGAUAUUGUUGUUUUUGUUUCAUAUAAUACUACUUAUGCACAUCGCCUCAUGCAAACAUUUCUUAGUUAUGCUUAAAAAAAUGAGAUUCUCACCAUGGGUCACUGUAAAAAUCCACAGAAGCCGUGGAUCACAGUAGGAAGCCCACUUGAACAGAAGAAGCUACCGAAAGCUUCGACAUUGUAUUUAUGAAAUGCUUAGUAAAUUUUGUUUUAUUUUGAAUUUAUAUUAUAAAUGGUGUGUUGCUAAAUUAAAAAAUAAAAAAGAAAUGCAAUGUGUCAAAAUACAAGAAUCUUACGGACAUUUUUGUCACAAUAUAUGUAAAUAAUUCAUAUCUUAUUCAUAUCCUAUGUAAGCUUCACUUGUUUAACACAAUGGUGGUUGAAUCUUCAAAAAUUCAUAAUCUUAAACAACCAAAUUUGGAAUUAAUUAAGCAAAUUGCCUCUAUAAAUUGAUUACAACAACCAACGACGUGUGAAGCCACAUGUCAAUUUCCCUAGACAGCCCAAAUAUUGAGGCGCUGUGAGGGAGCAAGGUGCAAUCGGAUGGGGGAAAGAGAGAGAGCCAAUGGUGAGAAUGGAUCGUGGUGAGGGAGAACCAACUGGUGGUGAGAUUUGUGGCUUCAAUGAGGUGAGUUUCGUGGCGCUGUGAGUGAAGUGAGAUUUGGCAUGAGUGUGAGGGAGAAUGCGUGUGUUGUGUGAGUGAGGUAAGCUGUGUCUGUUGUGUGCAUGGAGACUCUCACCACAAUUAGAAUUUAUAGUUAGCACAGAACGAAACACAAUAUUCUACGCUAACUGUGGAGUUAACCAUGGUGAGAAUAUCAUUAUUGUUUAUUAUAACACUUUUUUUUUUAAUUUGUUUUGACAAUAAAAUAAAGAACCUUGUAAGAAAACCUCAAUAACUCAAUUAAAAAACCAACUCAACCGAUGAUAGGUAAAUUGAGAAAUUUUCAACUAAAAAUUAUUAAGAUUGGUUUUAACUUCAAAUCAUAGUCACAUAGUUUUGUCCUUAUAAAGAUCAAAAUAAUGAAUUCUAACUCCGAAGUUUUUAGAUUUAUGUGACGAACUGACGAUAGUAUAUUGAAAUCGAUUGAAAUGAAAAAUUUAAUUAAAUGCAAUUCAAGAUGUAGUAUCAAAUUCAAACGAUUCGGAUUGUUUUAAAAAUUUCAAUGCUUUAAUCUAAAUCGAUUAAUCAAUUACACUCUUGCAAUUAUAUACCGUUAAAACUAAAAUAUGUAAAAUUUAGGGUGCAUUUAUUACCAUUUUCAAUUUGUUGUUUUUCGUUUUAUGAAAAGGAAAAUACAGAAAACUUGUUUGGUGAGCUCAUAUUGGUGGAAAACUGUACAGUGAUUAAAAACAAAAAAAAAUUCAUUUUUCAAUGUUUACAAAGGAAACAAGAAAACGCUAUUACACUGGGUUCUCUAUUUUAUUUCACUUUUACUCUCUGCCAAGGCCCUACCAUCUUAACUUUUAUAACAUGGUGUAAUAAAUUACGUGGGCCCAUUUAAUAAAGAAAUAAUCUAAUAAAUAAAUUAUUAUAACAAAUAUUUAAAAAUAAUAGCAUUCCAUACCUUACAGCUUAAUUACUUAAUAUAUUACCCAAAUUAUUUUAAAUAAAAAGUGAUAUCAUAUAAUUAUUAUACUAAAUUAUUACAUUGUUCGACCAAUAUGCAGUUAUUUAAAAAUUACUACAAACUUUCUUACAUAUAUUAAUGAAAAUAUAUCAAUAAUAAAGUUACAUCUUGACAGUUAAUAUAAAUAAAUAUAUGAUAAUUAUGAAAUAAUUAAAGAUUUUCUCAAUUAAUAUUAUCUUAUAACUACAAUUUAUUUACAUAAUUAAAAGUUUUUAAGAAAUUAUUAAAAUAUCUUCAAACCUAUAUGCAUUUAUAAUAAUAUAUAAUACAUCAUAAUAUAAUAACUAAAUAGAUAAAUUAUUUAUUAAUAUAAAAUAUAUGUUUAUAUUCAUUAUAUAAUAUUAUUCUUUCAUAGUAGUUUCAUUAAAUAAUUCUCUACUCUCUCUCUUUUUAUCUUUAUUUUUUCGGACAGACAAGUAACCAAACACCGCUUCACCUUUUUUUUAUUUUCAAAUACUAUUCUUAAAAUAAACUACCAAACAUAUUUUUAUUUUUAACAAAAACUAAUCAUUUUUAUUUUAUAAAACAAAUUGAAAAGUACUAUUUAAAAUAUAAUACCAAACUUACCCUUAAUAAUUUUAUAUUUGUCAAAAAGAUGAGAAGCUAAGUGGCACUAUCGUUUACCUAUUCAAACUAAACGUGGAGUCACAAUAUUGAAGACACUUUGGUGGCCACAACACUCUUUUCUUUAGUACGGAACAAUCUGGCUUACAUGACACUACAUAAAAAUAAAUAAUAAAAAAUCACCGAUUCCAACUGCCCCGGACAAAAAACAGGCCACACGUAAAAAGGCUUCUAUUUUUAUUUUUAUUUCUCCCCAUUUUAAAGAUGACGUCAUGGUGAUUAUGAAACCAGAAAAUAACAAAUUUUAGUUGUCUGAUUUUGUAGUUAUCCAGCGAAAACUAAAAAAACAGUGAACGCAGCAGCAGAUCUCCGUGUUUGUCGUCGUUCGAUGAGAGAUUCCGAUUCGUGAGCAUCGCAAGUGUUGAAAUGGAAUCAGACGAAAUGAGGAGUUAGCCUCUUAUUAUAUAAUAAUAAUAAUGAUAAUAAUAAUAAUAACUAAUCUCUUUUAUCAUAUAAUUGAUAAUGGAAAUUCACAUUGACAAAAGGCAAAUUACACACUGACUGGGCAGAAUAAAAAACAGUCUCUCUCAAAAGCAAUAAUUUAAACACUAACACCACCUUAAGGAGACACCCCAAAAAUAAAGCAGCAAGCUCUUACUGUGACCACACACACACACACACACCAAACUUUUAUUAUAGAAUAAAUCUAAGAUGAUGGAUGAUGGAUGCGUCACAUAAAAGUUAAUUAAUUUAAUCGCUGUCACUGCUGCUGCUGCUCUCGUGUCCGUCCUCGUGCUUCUUCUUCUUCUCCUUCUUUUUCUUCUUCUCUUCACCGUGGGCGGCGCCCUCGCCGCCGCCGACACCGGGGAUCUUCUGCUUGAUCUUGUCCACCAAGCCCUCCUUGUGUUCGCCCUCCUUGUGUUCCCCGCCGUGAUGCUGCUGCUGAUGGUGAACAUCAGUAGUGCCGACACCGGGGAUCUGCUGCUUGAUCUUGUCCACCAAGCCCUCCUUGUGUUCGCCGCCGUGAUACUGCUGCUGAUGGUGGACAUCAGUAGUGUGGUGGUCCCCACUAUGGUGCUCUCCCUUGUGCUUGUCCUCCUCCUUUUGCCCUCCUCCCAUGUGAAGGGCUUCUCCGAUCUUGUGAAUAACUCCUGACAUUUUCCCUUAAAAUGACUCUGUUCCUCUUCUUUUCUUUUCAAUGAAAAAUAGUUGUUUGCGAUCUUCUUCUGGUUGUUGUUGUUCUUGUUGGGUGAUCUUGGCUUGGUAUUUAUAGGCUCCAAAAGGAGGGACUAGAAUUAGGAUUAGAUUAUAGAUUAUUUUAAUACAUUUUAUGGCAAAUUCUGAUUUGGAAAGAUAAGAUUAUCCUUUUGGUUUUCCUUAUUUACCCUUUUGCACCCAUUACGUGUACGCGUCUUCGUGGGCUUUUUGGGUAUUUCAAUUAUAUCGCCAAUGCUAAAUCGACACGUUGCAUAUCAGCCGCGGUACUGCCGUAUGUAGUUGUCCAGAAAUCGAGUCGAUUCUCGAUCGUACAAUAAUUAAAUAAUAUUUCAUACGAAAUGAGUUUAGAUAUAUUUUGAAAAUUUAUUUUUAAUUUAAUUAUACGUGUUAUAUAUUUGUUAAUCGAAUAGAGGUCCCACGUAACAGAGUGUUUCUCUAAUCUUUCAUUGCUUUUAAUUAAUUUUACCCAAAUAAAAAAAAAAAGGAAAAUUUAGAGAGAGAGAGAGAGAUAGCGAAUUAGAAGUUGAUUGUAAUAUCGACACCUGUCAGACAAUCAAAUAUCGUUAGUUAAAAAUCAGUUGUCCAUAGUCAUGGUCAUAGAUGGCGAAAUUGAUACUUAUUUUAAAAAACAAAACAAAACAAAACGAAACGAAACUAAACUAACAGAUGUUGAAAUGCAGUUCCGUGUUAACAGUCUGUGAUGAAUCUUUAUCUUUGAGUAUACCAUUCAAGAAAUUAUCAUUCAAAAAUUUAUUUAAAGCAGCAGCAAAUCACCUUCUAAUUCCUGAAUCAAAUUAAUUCGAUUUUUUUCGAGUCGAUCAAUUCAUUAGAGAAUUAACGGGCUAAGUUAAAGUUUUGUUAGUUAUUUUUUUUUAUAUUCCUUUAGAUGAUAUGAUUGUCAUUGUCUUUCUUUCUCUGGGCAACAAUAAAUACAAGAUGUGCAAAAGCGUAGUGGAACAUAAUUCGAUUAUGGGUAAAGGGAUCAGUCCGCAUAAUGAGGAUAAAGUUUUUCUCUUUAAAAAAAUUUAACCCAAAGAAAAGGUCGUAGUUUGUAAUAGCCGACACGCAGAUAGAUCACAAAGCAUGGCGGUCCUGAUGGCAAUAACUAACUGAUAUCUUCUGCGAUGAGAGGAGAUCACGUGGUUCUGACACGUAUCGCCCCAUCAACUGAUGUUGUGGCUGCAAUCGCGGCCCAGUCUUUAGAGAGAAGAAAGAUCUGUUAUAACGGGACCUACUUUAGCAUCUAUUUACGACAAAGCCCCUAUUUACUCUACUUAGUAGUAAUAAUAGCAAGUGUCGGGCUUGGAUUCCGUGUUGCUUUAAAUAAAUAUCCGCGUAAAAAGAAAAUGCUUCUUUAAUCCCUUCCUUGUAAUUUUUCGACACGUGGAUGGUUGAAAUUAGCGUGCCGACAUCUUAGGAAUUUUAUCUUGGAGACGGGAACACUGCAGUAGGCAAUGCCAUUUUCUUCGGAUGGUGUGUGGUGACAACGCCUUGGAUUUUGACGUGCAAAGAAUUUAAAUUGAAAAAGAAAAAAAGAAAUUACCAGAAUAAGCAUAGAAGAGAUAUUUUUCUUUUUGUCCUUUUUGGAAUGGAAAAAGAGAUCAAGAGAUUGUUCCAGUAAGUAUUACACAUGUCACAGGCUUAUUCAUGCCCCAUUAUGGCAACUUUUAUGCCUCGCGGUGCCCUCGGUUCCAGCAUAAUAGCUAAGACUUCAAUUUUUCUAACAUAUUUUUGUUACAAAUAUGAACGGAGUAAAUGUAUAACUUUAAUCCUUUGAAUAAAGAAAUGGCGGUUCUCCUGCUCGUUAAUCUCACUUGAAUCCCACCCAGGCAAAAUUUCUUUAUUUUAUUUAACAACAAUUUAAAGAAAGAAACUUUUGCCAGGUUGAAUUUCAAGUGAGAUUCAUUCGUGGGAGAAGUGCCAUUUCUUUAUUCAAAAGAUUAUGGUAAUUACAACUUUCAAUUUCGACAUAAAUUAAAAUUAUAGGCUAUACAAUAAAAUUGCCCUAAAUUAGUCCUAAUCAAUUCAGAUUAUAAAUUUAGGUAUAUUUAUUAUUUUAAUAUAUUAAUGUUCUAUAUAUAUAUAUAUAUAUAUAUAUAUAUGUGUGUGUGUGUGUGUAUNNNNNNNNNNNNNNNNNNNNNNNNNNNNNNNNNNNNNNNNNNNNNNNNNNNNNNNNNNNNNNNNNNNNNNNNNNNNNNNNNNNNNNNNNNNNNNNNNNNNNNNNNNNNACAGCAGAAAAUAUUUGCUAUGGAUAAGGAGACAUGGUCCCACGUCCCACCGUCCCAAUGCAUAUUUUGUAUGUUUCCAUCUUUUCUGAAAUUUUAAUAAAUAAAGUUUUUUGACCACUUGGCCAAAGAACCUUACCCUUACACAACUUUGUGGUUGGAGUCCUGUGAUACAUGUAAGAACUUAUUUUUUUUCUUAAUUAUAAUAUUUUAGAAUAUAAUUAAGUGAAGUAGGUUUUUUUUUUAAAUAUGAGUAAAAUAGAUAUUUUUUAAAUAUUAAAGAGAGUAAAAUUUGAAUAAUAAUAUAUUAAAAUUAAUACAAACUAAUUUUAAUAAUUAUUUAAUUAUAAAUAUCAAUUAUAACAUCAUAUAAUAUCAAUUAUAAUAUCGUACAUCUCAAUUAAUUCAAUAAUAAUAAUAAUAAAUGUUUUUUGGGAUAAGUAAACAGUCGCAUGGCGACAAUAGUGGAUCUGGAUUAGAGUGAAGUGGUCCCAAGAGGCUGAGGCUGUGGCUGUGGAGUUCUAAAAGUCAAAAGCUCCACGCACUUUGUUUCAGUACCAUACACACUGAAAAAAUUUGCAUUUGCAAUGACGAAAACUUUUCACGAAAUCAAAACACCUCUAAACUAUUUUGUUAUCGAUAUUUAAUGGAGGGGUUUCCUACCUUUUUAACACUCGAUUCACGCCUUGACGCAUCUCACAGAAAACCUCAUGAUCCCAUUAAUCUUGCGUAACAUAUCUCAAAGCCAAUGCAAGUGAUCUUGUUGCCUACUUCCCUUUGACGAUUCAAAAUUGUUGAAAAUAAUUCUUUUUUUUUUUAACCUCAAGGAAGUGACAAAAUAUAAAAGAAUAUUUUCUACACAUUAAACAUCUAGAUUUUUUUUUCUUUUCUUUUUAGAGUACUUGCACAAACCGUUUCCAAGAGAGACCUUUUUUUUUUUUUUUUUUUUCCGGGCUUGGUUACUAAUUUGGUGUGAAUACUCUAUGGUGAAAAAGGAAUCACAAAGCUGUAAUCAAUUUUUUUGCAUCAUUUAGUUGUAACUUGAACAUUGGGAGGUUUAUAAAGAAUUAAAUUAAUUAUAAUGCCUCUACUAGGAAAAGUUCAGAGUAGCCCUUCACAACUUUUUAAAGGCUUAAUAAUUUUCGCUUUCUUCCUCUCAUAACAUAACAAAAAAUUAAGAGCUUUACUCGUACACGUCCUAUGGCUAUAUAGUAUUGGGUUCUCUACUUCAAUCGGCUAUCUCAAACCGAAGGUUAUUUGGACACACCAGCAGUCACGUUUGGAAACUCUCAAAUGCUUGGAUUGUAAUUCUUGUGGAUGAGAUCAUCUAAAUCUUGGGCCCAAGCCGGACAAUGGGUGGACAAAGAACCCUAAAAUACAGUAAAGCUUCUAACACCCCACUAAAACUCUUAAGAAAUCCUACCUUUUAUUUUUAUAUCUCUUUCUUUUAGAAAUUAUAGAGAAGACAUAGCAUUUUAAUUAUUUUCCCUGCCAUUGAAAAUAAAUUCUGUAAACAUAUUUUUUCAUAAUAAAAUUAUUGUUAUUAGAUAAUUUAUUUCUUCAUUGUUUCAAAAUUAUUAUAAUUUUAUCAACAAAAUUAGUUAUGUCAUAUAUUAGGAUUAAAAUUAAUUAGGAUCCAUAACUUGUAAAGACAUUUUAGUUUAAUUGAAUUCAUAUUUGUCAUUUUAUGUAAUUUUCAAUAAAAAUACGACUAUGAGUGCAAAAGUGGGAUGACAUAAUAUUAAAAGAGUGUGAAAUAAUCGGUAAUUGAAAUGGAUUGAAAUCAUAAUAGAGUAUGAAAAUCAGAAUAAAUUGUUUACUUUAGUUGUAGAAAUCAAAAUUAAAAUAAACCAUAUUAUCAUUGAUGUAUAUAUGUUUUCUUGUAAUCGAAAUGAAUUCUUAUAAGUUACUAUAAGACCCUUAUGGUGUGUUUACUAAUCAGAAAUCAGAAUGGAGUGGAAUUUGAAUAUAGAAUGGUAGGGGUAUUCGCGGAUCGGAUUUUACGGAUUGGACAUUAAUUCAUAUCCGAUCCAUAAUUUUACGGAUUAUAAAUUCUCAACACAAUCCAAAUCCAAUCUAUAUGUUUGCAGAUCGGAUGCGGAUUUGACUCAAUUCAUAUCCAAUCCACUAUUUGACGGAUUGAUUUUGGAAUUAAAAAUUUUUAAUUUUGUCCAAUCUAUGAGGUAAUUAAAUUUAAAAAUCUAAUAUAAAAAUAAUUUAUUAAAUAAAAAAUUAACGUAAAAAUAAUUUUACUACCAAUUAAAUUCAAAAUUGAACAAGAUUUAAAUAAAUUAAUUAUUUAAAUAAAACUAGAAUAAUUUAUUUAAAAUUUUUAAAUAUAACAUAUCGAAAAAAAAUUCAUUUGUUUAGAUUAAUAUAUGAAAAUUAACUAAAAUUAUGAAUUUAAAUGUUGAAAUUUGAGAGCUUGGAUGUAACAGGAAGAAAUUAAGAAACUUGAAGAACUUGAAAAGAAAGUAACAAAUUAAGCUUAACUACCUCUAAUGGUGAAGUGAAACAGUGAUGGUUUGUGCGUGCAAUGGGGUACAAAUUUGGCAUUAUAUGCCAAAAUAUUUUGUUUGGCUUUAGAAUUUUUAAUGUUUAGGAAGCUAUAUUUGUUUAUUUAAUUACUCAAAUAUUUAAUUAUUUUUUAUUUUAUGUUAUUAUUGAAUAAGAUAUAAUAUUGUGUUAAUUUAGCUAUACUUUAAUUAAUUAAUUAAUUUAUUAGUAAGUAGCAUUGCUACAUUUAUAAGUUUUAUUUUUUAUUAAAUAAAUACUUUUUUUUUUCAGAUUCACGAAUUUUUACGGAUUUACAGAAAUAAAUCCAUAUCUAAUCCAUCGACUGUGGUUUUUUAAAUUUUCAUUCCAAUCCGAUCUACCAAUCCACAAAUUAUAUUUUUACGGAUCGGACGAAUUGAGCGGAUCAAAUUGGGUUCUGAACACCCCUAGAGAAUGAGAAUCAAAAUAAAUUAUUUACUUUAGUUGUGUGAAUCGGAAUUGGAAUAAAUUGUACUGUCAUUGAUGUGUUUACUUUAUCUUGGAAUCAGAAUGAAUAAUUUCAAAUUACUAAACUGACCUUAAUUUUUUAUUGUAAUAAUAAUAGUAGUAGUAGUAGUAAUAGUAGUAAUUUUCUAUUAUUAUUAUUAUUUUCUCUCUCUUUUGUUUUUAUUUUUUUAUUUUUCUCUUCUUCUUCUCUUCCUCUUUUUUUAUUUUUCUCUAAUUCAUCGAUACUUCUUCUUCUUCUUUUUUCUUUCGUUUUUAUUUUUAAUUUUUCCCUUCUUUAUCGUUCCUUCUUCUCCGUCCAUUCUCUAUCUUCAAACUCUUUUUACUUUUUCUCUUAUUCUUCAUUACUUCUUCUCCCUUUUUUUUUUUUUUCUCUUCUUUAUUAAUUCUUCUUCUUCUGCGUCUAUUCUUCAUCUUCAAAUUAUCAAGUGAAAAAUACCCACGGUGCCUUACAAGAAGAAUUGGUUUUGUUUGCUUCAAUUAUUUUUUGUAUUUUGUACUUUUGAUUGUUUCAAAAGAGGAUAAACUUGUAAUAAUGCAAUUUAAGUAGGGAUGUUUUAGACAAUUUUGGGUAUGAGAGUCUAAUUCCCAACCCCCCACUCCCUCGUAGCAGACUCCCAUUCUUCAUUCCUAACUUGGUGUUGGACCUACUAAAAUAAAUCCCAUUCCCCUUCUUAUUUCAAGAAGCAAACACGAUUUUGAUUUCAAUUCCCCAAUCCGAAAGUAAACGCACAAAAAUUGUACCCAUAUGAGAUUGCUUAUCCUCGAGUUUUUAGAUUGAAAAAAAAAAAGGAAAAAAGAAUGGCCCCAUUAGGAAGGGAUUUUAAGUGUUAGAUAAAGCCGGUGUUAACCAUUAGAAGGUCUCCGACCUUCAACUGUAAUAUAUUAAACCCAGAUAAAUUUACAUAUAAAUCACACAAACCAACAUGCCAAUCAAAUAAAUUACAUCAACUAACAACAAUUGACACAUUAAUUUUCAUAAUACAGAGGAUGCAGAAAAUUAAAAUGUUUUAUCUUUUCUCCUUAUUUGUGAAUUGGAAAAUGAAAAUGUUAAACAUACAGAAGAGUGAAACAGGAUGGAUAUAUAUACACACACACACACACACAGCUUUGGAGUUCAAUGUCAUCGUAUUGCUCCAAGAAGAUUGGCGCCAUCAAGCUUUGCACCUUCCAGAUGCUGUUUAAUCAUCACCAUAACACCUUCAGUAGACAUUAAUACAUAAUAGAAACACAAAAUUCACAUGAUCUGAAUGUCUGGUCUAUUUUACUUACCGUAUCUCGAAGAUUUACGUGCCGUAAAUAAGCUCUUUGAAGGUUGGCACCCUUUAAAUUGGCAUUACGUAGCUUUGCACCCUGCCGCAUAAAUGUUCGAAGUUUCAACAAAUUAAAGUCUCCUGAGAAAUACAUGUCACGAAAAAGUAGGGCUGAAACUUGCAUCUAAUGUACAAGAUUCAAUCAGGGGUGCUUGUCCCACAGUGAAAGUGUAUGGGGGAAAGUGCACUUUCACAAACCAAAGGGGCAAGAUGUGAUUAUCACACGAUUACAAAAGGACUGUAGUCAAGAGAGAGAACUGAACAUGCAGCUUGUAUUGAGGCCAUGAAAAUUGAUGAAAAGCAGUAACAAGCAACCAUUUUGAAAACACUUCAUAUGGUCGAAUCAAUAAAUCAAAGCUAAAAUGAUGUUGACGAUCGAUAGCUUUUAGGUGAUAAGAGUCUUGGCACUACAGUUAAAAUUAUUAUCUAGGAGUGCACACAUUAAUAAAAAAAAACACAACCAAUAAGCAUGCACUCUUAAUCAGCAUAUAAAUUAACAAGUUAGUUGCACCUUAUGUUGUUCCACAAACAGAUUGCUCGAACAAUUCACAAUCUUACCUUCAAAUUAGCUCCUUCCAAAUUAGCUCCCUCUAGGUUGGCAUUAGUAAGAUCAGCAGUCUGAAAAGUCAAGAGGACAAACAGAUUGCAAUUUGAUUAAAAUCUCAAAGUAGCAACAUUCUGCAUGAAAGAAGAGCAGCACAAUUGGCAACAUACAUUUUAGAUUAAGAGGAUGGGAUAAAAGCAAAAUUACAAGGACAUGAAGCAAAUGAGCCAUGUUUAGUAUGGCAAUUUUGACCCAAUAAUUGUGGCAGGUCUUGGAGAUAACAUAGGCAUACACAUAAGGCAGAAGCAAAUACUGUCGCAAACUCCUAGCUAACUACAAAUGUUCCAUAUAGAAAAAAACACCUGCAAAAGUAAGGGAAAAAGCAACAGAUAAAGAACUCAAGAUGCUAGACCUGUAAGUGUGCAGAUCGCAGGUCUGCUCCACAGAAGCUGCAGUCUAUCAAGCAAGCAUCUGCAAUGAUUUAAGAUAAAUUUGAAUCCAAAUGACAUUUUACCGCAAGUAGUUCCAGCCAUUUUGGGAACAAACAAGAAAUGCUAUUUUGUAUUCAUUGUAAUUCCUUAAGCUAAAUAACAAUCAUGUGCUAUCUUAACCAAGGUACAGUUGCAAAUUCUGAAAUUGUGAUGCCAUAGGUUGUUCUUAAUCUUUUUGAACUGAAUAUUGAAAAAAUAUUCCUUCAAUCAUAAAUGUUAAAUAAUUAAAAGAACUGUGAGGGGGGNNNNNNNNNNNNNNNNNNNNNNNNNNNNNNNNNNNNNNNNNNNNNNNNNNNNNNNNNNNNNNNNNNNNNNNNNNNNNNNNNNNNNNNNNNNNNNNNNNNNNNNNNNNNNNNNNNGGGGGGGGGGGGGGGGGAAUGAAUAAGCGGAUGCAUACAGAAAAUUAUGGAAAAUCUGUUAUGGAAAUAAUAUGAAAAUGGGUAUGCAUAACUACAUACUGAAUCUUGACUAAUUUCAAUUUAAUUCAGAUAAGAAAUUCCAGUAUGGGAAUUGCCUUGUAAAUUUGCACUCUGAAGAUUUGCACCAGCUAGUAAAGCUCCACGAAGGUUUGCCCCAGCAAAUUCACAUCUUCCCUAGGCAAGAUAAAACCCUUAAAAGGCAAUUUUGAAAAAUACAUAUAAUUGGGAGAAUAUCCAGUAUUGCUUUGACUCUCUUACUCACGCAAAGUUGCAUUGUGAAAAAUGGAACCCUCAGCAUCCACAUCCUGUAUCAAGAACAGACAGAUUCAGUAUGAUUAAUAUAACUGGUUGCUGGAAGACAGGACAAAAUCGCAUCUUGUCACUGUCAACUUGCAUGUUAAGAAUUAAACACGAAAACUGCAUGCUGUCCAAUUAUAAGAAACCUAUAAAAUUCAAAUCAACAUCAAUACUGGCUUAAGGAAGAUAUAAAAAUAAAAAUUAUACCAACCCGAAAUUUCGCAGAUUGAAGAUUUGCACGUGAGAAGAAAACAUUUCUAAGACACGCAUAGCUGAAGUCCACAAGUGAAAGAUCCUGGCCAUUUUAAUAAGAUAGCAUCAGAGGAAACAAUAUCUAAUGAAUAUAUAAUGUUCUUUCUUGCUUAUCUGAGAAUACUAAUGAGAUUAUCAAAAAAACUCUAAGCUACUGCUAAGAAGUCUUGUGUUACAUGAGUAUGAAUUGAGGAGGUAAAGAAGACCCUUCUCCAAUAAGUUACCAUAGAAGCCACAUAAAACCCUAAAGCAGUUACAAACUUACAAUGACCAGAAUAAACCACCCCAACUAUCUAUUGGCAAGUAAAAUCACUUCUCUGGAUUUCUGAAAACUAGCAAAACAAAUGCAUAAAUUGGCAAAUUCGAUGAUUUCCUCUGAAAACCAAAUUAUAGCAGACAUAAAACUUGGAAGUAUUCAUAGAAUAAAAAUCUUUCAAGCACCUCAAUUCAGUAAUUAUUACCAGCUUAGAAAGAUCAAGGCCAGAAAGAUUAAGUCCUCGAAAUCUGACUUUUUCAGACUGUAUACACUUGAUGAUAUCAAUGCGUGUUAGCUCAGUAUCUAACUCAUUAUCUUCCUUUCUCUUAUUUAUGACAGCAUGGAUUCUCUCAAUUAGUCCCUGAAAUGAAACACAUUAGAUGCAAACUAUUAUUUGAAAAAAGAAAUACAUUUUAUCCACUAACACACAUGGAUUUCAACAGCAAUCAUACAAUAAUUGAGGAAGGACGGUCAUAUCAGACUCAUCUGCCAAGAUUCAAUAAGCACAUCAAACUUGUUUACAUGUAAUUUCCACAUUCCACGUGAAUUUAUAAGGUCUGCCUAAGCAAACCAAAGAAGGCUACACUCAGUACUGUGUGUAUACUGCCUUACCUUUGCUGUUCCCCAGAUACCGUCCUGCAAUCCAGAUACUUAGCUGUGAAGUUUCAAGCCAGCGAAACCAUUUUAAAAGUACACAUGGACACAGAUACCAUUAUCUGAAUCAUCUUCGAUAACAAAUUAAAAUGCCCUAGCGUUCAAAAAACUUAGGAUCUCUUUAAGUGAAGUUCCUUUAAAAAAGUAGAAAAAAACUGAACAACAAUGUCAUGCUAAUAAAAGGUAAAAAAAAUAAAAUAAAAUAAAGCAUAAGGACAGAAGUUCACCAGGAGCAUGCCAGUAUAAACCAAAACGACCACAAAUCUCAACCAUAAAAUUUAAAGUAGUAAAGUAAAUAAUCAAGGGCAUGCAGUUGGCACAGGUGCUUCCAAAUAAAAUGAUGAUUCUUUUCAAACAGAAAAAAGAAAUGGAUGUUAAUAAACUAGAAGAAACCAUGUCUUACAAGUAAUUGAUAAUAUUCUGCUUCCCGUAGAAGCUCUAAAAACUCUGACUCUGUUAAUGUGGGGACAGCCCCAUCCCUUAACCAAUUCAGAAUAUGCCGAAAAUGUUUUCCGUCCCUAUCAACAAAGAUAUAGCCCUGCAAUAAUUCAAUAUGCUCAAAGAUAAGAAUCUGAAUAAUAUACCCAAGAGAAGUGCUUUUCCCUGGAAUAAUAAAAAGAAAAUAAGUCAAAACGUUUUUCUUAAUGGAAGAACACAAAGGAACAGCUCUAUGACUAACAUGAAAACCAUAAAUCAGAAUAAGAACCCAAAACUGGUCAUUUGGAGUUUCACCAGAUCAAAAAGAUCACAUGGAAAUAAAAUUGUGAAAAUGGGAUUAUUUAUGCCGAGGUCAUGGCUAAACUGCAAUCAUUACUCCAUUUUUGGUAGAAGGAGAAGAAGAAAGAAGAGUAGGUGAGUCAUCAUUCUUUCAGGUGAGUCAUCAUUCUUUCUCUGUGAUUAAUUGAUAUGAUGGAAGUGUUGUAGAUAUUAAUUUGAUAGUGAUUCCUCCCUUCAAAAGAAUUCAUUCCUUUUUUUAUUAUUUCACAAAGUUUAACUAAGACUGAGUUUUCUCAAUUUGAAGGCAUCGUGCACUCUACCCCUUUCUUUUCCUCACAUUGCUUCUUCCCAAUCCCAAAGGGAAGAAAUCAAGAAACAAUUACAAUUUUUAACUAUUCACCAGCAAAAACAAGGCAAAGAAAGAUGCUGAGUGUAAGCAAAAAUAAGAGAGUUAUACACCUCAGAGUCUUGGCACACAGUAUGGCGACCGCUGAACAUAGCUGCAAGCAUAGAUUCAGGCUC